UUAUUAGUUUAUUCUGUCGCAUAAUUUCUGUGUAUACAUGCGUAGGUGUGUGUGCGUGUGUGUGAACUUGGAUUGUGUACAUGUACGAUUGUGUACGUGUGCGAAUGUGUAAGCGUGUUCCUUUCGCGUACUCAUUGGGUACAUCUCCAGCAAACUUCUUAACUUUCCUGCAGAAAUUGCUGUUGUAUAUCAGUUUAAUUGGCAAGUAUUCUUUAACAUGAACAUACCAAUUUUAAUUAGCCCUCAACUGAGUUCUCUUGAUACAACGCUCAGUAAAAGUUCUAUAAAUAAAUUUUAUCACACACAGAUACAUAGAGAUACACAUAGACACACGCAAACACUCAUACACUCACUCACACACGUAUUUCAUACACACGUGCACACACACACACAUACACAUACACUGUCUUACACGUAAUCCAUGGAGAUAAUAGAAAGAUGUAUAGACAGGUAUUUAUCUUCAGCAAUACUCACAUGGGUGAGAGGGAACAGAAUAGCUUUGAGAGAGCUUUCAAUAUAUAUACAUAUAGAAUAAUAUUUUCGCUUCGAAGGAUGUGUUGAUAAUCUCUGGAAUUUCCCCAGCUGGCCGGGUGCGAUUCAUUGAAAAAAUUGCUGACAGUUGAACUUCAGACGAACUAUUAAUCUUUUCGUUGCUAUAUAUUCAUAUAUUCAAAUUAUAUAUAUAUAUAUAUAUAUAUAUAUAUAUAUAUAUAUAUACACCUAUCUGGCUAUUCAUAAAAGUGUGCGUGUUUGCAUUUCUGUGUGUAUGCAUGUAUGUAUGUACACGAGUAGAUUACUGUCUGUCAACUUAAACGCAUAUCCAUUACAUUGAUAUGUAAGUGACCAAGCACUGCCUCUCCUCAAGCACUCACUGAAACAUACACACACACACACACAAGUGCGCGCGCGCACACACAAACUUGAAUACCCAUGAAGUAAUUCUCAUAGGAAAUUUGUGUUAGAUUGUAACAAGUUUAUAUUUCUUAUUUACCGACAGGAUCCAUCCGACAGAGUUUCUGUCUACCCAUUUUCACUCAUAAGUUAUGUCACCUUGAGGGCAUGGGUAACUUACAUCUAACCAAGAUGCUACGCACUUCGAUCGAAUCUCAUUUACCGAGGUUUCGAAGAAAAUUCCUUCACUUUCAACAUACACUUUUUUAACACCUUAUUUAACUUAAGGAGUGAAGGCGCAAUGACCCAGUGGUUAGGGCAGCGGACUCGCGGUCAUAGGAUCGCGGUUUCGAUUCCCAGACCGAGCGUUGUGAGUUUUUAUUGAGCGAAAACACCUAAAGCUCCACGAGGCUCCGGCAGGGGAUGGUGGUGAUCCCUGCUGUACUCUUUCACCACAACUUUCACUCACUCUUACUUCCUGUUUCUGUUGUACCUGUAUUUCAAAGGGCCGGCUUUGUCACUCUCUGUGUCACGCUGAAUAUCCCCGAGAACUACGUUAAGUGUACACGUGUCUGUAGAGUGCUCAGCCAUUUACACGUUAAUUUCACGAGAGGCUGUUCCGUUGAUUCGGAUCAACCGGAACCCUCGUCGUCGUAACCGACGGAGUGCUUCCAAUUAACUUAAGGGCUUAUAUAUCUGAAGAUCUUACUUACACCUACAGGCAUAUAAUACAUAUAUGCAUACAUAUAUAUACAUGUGUGUGUGUGUGUGUAUACACAAGUACUUAUUUAUAUAUAUUCAUAUAUACAUAUGUGCAUAUAUAUAUACAUAUAUAUAUAUAUAUAUAUAUAUAUAUAUAUAUAUAUAUAAAUAGAAAUAUUAAAAUUACUAAGUCUCUCUAAAGGAGAUUACGACAGCAUUACUGGAUAUUAAUAGUUUUCGCCAUACUAAUAUGGACUGCCAUAUUAGUAUGGCGAUAACUAUUAAUAUUUAUAUAUAUAUAUACAUAUGUAUAUAAAUAAAUGAAUAUGUAUAUAUAUAUAUACAUAUGGUAUCAAAAUAACAGUUGCAAAUUUUAGUCACAAGGUCAGCGAGGUCGGGGUAAGGGGUAAGUCGAUUACAUCGACCCCAGUGUUCAACAGGUACUUAUUUUUUCGACCCCGAAAUGAUGAAAGCAAAGUCGACCUUGCCGGAGUUUGAACGCACAACACGAAUAUAGGCGAGAUAAAUAUUAUGCAAAUAAUCUUUUAAAACAUCUGUACUAAUUCCGUUUAUAACAGCAGUUUACGCAAAAGUUCGAAGUGAAAAUUUACGUAAUGUUUGCGGUUUUAGACGUUAGAGUGGCUCUUCAGACUUGCAUCAAAGGUGCGCUGUUAGACAGUACGUCUUCCAGACAUUGCUAUUUUUGCUUAUAUUUGUAGGUAAUACCCUACAUUUAUAAAUUUAUACUUUAUACUAUAUAUAAAUUUAUAUAACAUGAUCUAUCUAUCUAUCUAUCUAUCUAUCUAUCUAUAUAUCUAUCUAUCUAUCUAUCUAUCUAUAUAUAUAUAUAUAUAUAUAUAUACACAUUUAUACACACAUAUGCAUGUUCAUAAUUAAAUGUGUAUGUCAAACACGACCCAAAAUAAUGUAGUAUACAUUGGUAAAUAUUUAUUUCACUGCAGAGAUCACAUUUUGUUGUUAAUCACCUUACGGUUGGAAACUCAUUAUAAAAUUGAAAGCGAUAUAAGCACUUUAAUAUAUAUAUACAAAUGUGUGUAUGUGUGCGGGGGGGUUGUAUGCAAGCGUUCGCGUGCGUAUGUACACGUGAAUCUAUAUCUAGUGAUAGAUAAACAGAGAGAAAGAGAGAGAUAAAUAUAUGUGUUUGUGUGUGUGUGUGCGCGCGCGUCUGUAGUAGAUUCUCUUUUGGCAUUCAAAAUUAUCGCCAAAUUAUAUAUUUUCUGAAAUGUCUGGAAUUGAACAUACAUCCGAUCAUUACCAAUAUAGAUAUUGUGAGAUGCCUUAAUCUCCGCCUUGCAGAUGUGAAGUCAGUUCUUACAAUAUAUAAAUGAAACAUGAUAUUGUUCCUUCCAUAGAAUUGUUCAGUCACUUGUUAUUAGUUAUGUCGAUGUUGGUGAGAGUUUAAAGACAUUACAACGAUUUUAUACAAGUUUUAAAUUUUACAGAUGUUAUGAUAUGCAAGAUUAUUGGCACAGAAAUGUGUUACUUGAGGCUUUAUGGUCUGGUGGACUGAUCCUUCAGCGGUUCUGGGUUUACAAUUACCCCUCAUAAGGUGAUUACUUCUGCAUGAACAUGCAAUUGUAUUUGCCUCAUUUAUGAAUAAUAACCGGUGUGUCCCAGCUUUUUUACCUGAAGGAUAUCUGUCUAAUAUCAGUUUGAAGUUACGAAAAUACAGCAAGGCACUGCCCACUGAUAUCACAGAAUUAAUUAUUUAACUUAUAUGAUCCAUUUGCUAAUGUGUAUAAUGUAUGUAUGUAUUAUGUAUCUGUGCGAGUGCAUGUUUUAAUUUAAAGUCUUCAAAAGUUUUUGAGCAACGCCAGAUUAUGAACUAGUUAUGUUUCAUUCACAAAAAUUGUGAAACUUUUGAAUAACAGAACCUCCUAUUUUUGGUUUGUCUGACGAUAACCUUUUGUGCUAUAUAACAAAGAAAAUACAGAUAUAGAAAUAUUAGAUCGCUAGACAAGAUACCUUGCAUCCUUUUGGAUCGAUUAUAUUAUAUUUCUUCCUGUUACUCUUACAGGAAUUACUGAAACAAACUCUACGAGACAUUUGAUGGGUCUACUCAGUUUUGAUACCACCUAACCCAUACAGAGAUUUUAGUUGAGUAUCAAUAUAAGUUCUUCUAUGAAAUAUUUAUGCAGUGUAGUUGCAUGGACGAAGGGCUUAUUUAUCAAUGUUUUCUUAACAUUUUGAUUGGCAUCUGAUCUUUGGUCGAUAAUCAAGUAGCAAUCGAUAGUAAGGUAGAUUAAUCCCGUAGUGUUUUCUAGGAAACUCGUGGCCCUCAGUCUAACUCAGAAAUCUUUUGAAGAACUAUAUUAAAUUGGGUAAUUAAUAACGAAGUGAGUUUAGGGCAUUAGCUGAGUGUAGAAAAUUGCUGCUUCAUUAUUGAGGAAGAAUCAACUACAUUGGUUAAAGUAGAAAUUGGUACUUAUUAUGAUGGCAUAAGUAGUUAAUUUGGUGCUCUUCUGUCCCAAAUAUCAUUUGUAGUGCUUGUUCAGAUAUUCAAUAAGGUUUGAUUAUAUUUGUUUACUCACUUAUUCCAUGAAAUCUCUGUCGCUUUCGACAGUGAGUAUUCGGUCCUUCGAUCACCUAAACUCUUUAAAUAAACAUAUAUGUGGUUGCAUACACCAUAGAUGUGAACUCUUUAUGUGACAUUCAGGCUAGUGCGACAAAAUAUGUAAGACGACCGUAUUUCUGAAUUGCAUAUACAUCCAUAUGAAGGGCUUGCACGUACUUUUCGCCAACAGAGUUUGACUCACAAGGCAUUUGUUGAUUUUAUUUUUCACAAUACAAGAUUCUAGAUUCGAAUCACGUUCCUCGUGACUGCAAAGUGAAAUUUUUAACCGCUCGUGCAUACCUAUGUAAAUAAUCCAACGACAGUGGACUAGAAUUAGCUGAAAAGCCCUGAAAUCUAAUUGGUAAUUAUUUUACAUAGCAUACAUAGAUGAACUGCGAAGUCACAACAGGAGGGGUUUAUAUGCAUAACAUAGGGAGUAAGACCUAAAUAUAGCGCAUUUAGUGAUGGCUAUAUAAAUGCAAGGCUCAUAACGAUAUCAUUUCAAAUAUACCGCCCAUAAUUAUACAAUUUCUAGUACUUAUACGUUUUUAUUUUGUAUUUGAAAGGAGUAACAUAGUUAUAGUUCUACUUCAAUAUAUACAUAAUACUCAUUUCGUUGGCCCUCUACUUCAUGAAAAUCUUUUUUGACAAUGUCAAUCCCUGGGAGCUCAAUUUUCUUCUUCGGUGAAACACACAUUUAUAUAAUAGUAAUUUACGCAAUAAUAAAUUUUAAAACGUAGGAUUAAAGCUCACCAUACCUAAGACAAUAUGUUUAUAUACAAAACGAAAUAUCCUCUUGCAUUGAUCAGGGUAACCACAUUCCUAUUCAAGCCUCCGGUGUGUUAGCCUGCUAUAUUUUUCAAAGCUGGAAUAUCUGAAGCAUAUUUCGCGAUAAGUUCUUGUGUUCUAUUUGGCAAAUGAGGAGCCAUGUCUUCCACAUCGUUGACAGUUAAUGCUUCGUAAAUCUAUCUGAAAUAUGAACUAGUGUUUUAUCGUUACUAUGCUAUUGAAAAUGUGAUCCUAUUUCCUUCUCGAUCCGCACUUCUUUUAAGUAUUCCUUGAGUAUAAGUGUUUUAUUGGAGAUACAUUUUUUUAAUGGCUGUAACUUUUAAGUCAUGCAGUUCUAGAGCUGGUUCCCCUUCGUAGCGCAUAGGUUCCUUCAUUUUUUUCUUGCGCUUUUUUCGUGGAAAAUAUAUAUAGUAUAUGCAAUACCCCUAUGUCACUGCUGGUGAUAUCAUCAAUUUUAAAAUGUAUCCACAGAUAUGAUAUGAACAGUAGUGAUAUCUGAUUUCAAAUUUCAGUGUUUGAAUGUUUUGCUUAUAAAACUUUAUGAACCAUGUACUCUGUUUUUGGCGCAAAACAAAACUAGUUGCACAGUCAGAGUUUAACGUGACAGUUGUGGAUUAUUACCCGGUAGACCACACUGACGGGGCUCAGGGUUUAAAUACCCAAAAGCCGAAACCUGGUUUGUGGAUAUCCCUAAUUGCAUAAUAUUUAUAUUUCUGCUGUUAAAUGAUUUAAUCCUUUCUGUUUUCCUCGCAUUCUGCUUUUCUCUGUUACCUUGGUGCGGCACGGUGGAUAAAAUUAAGAUUUUAGCUUUUAUUUCUAGCAGGUGGAUGCUUGUUAAGCAUCUUUACGCUUCGUGCAAAUUUAUGAUUUAUAGCUAUUUAAUGCUAUUUAUAGCUAUUUAAUGCUAUUUAAUGCUAUUUAACCUAUGUCACUGCUGGUGAUAUCAUCAAUUUUAAAAUUUAUCCACAGAUGAUAUGAACAGUAGUGACAUCUGAUUUCAAAUCUCAGUAUUUGAAUGUAUUGCUUAUAUAUAUAUAUUAAAUGGAGGAAGUCUGUUUAACAUUAUCAGUCUCAUCUCGUCCUUAUCCUAUUAAGUCAAUAUGGAAUUCUGCAUUAAACAGGUCGAUGAGAACUGUACUAGUUUUCCUGAGGGUAAUUCUCUUUGUUUUCACAGGCUGUGAUUGGGAGGAGUUUUAAGCUGCAUGCUUGAAACAGAUAAAUGGGACGGGGCAAUCUUAUUUGUUGUCUUACGAAUUGUUCCUACCAUGACUCUGGGAACAACAAUCUCCAAAAUUUGUUGUUGGUACUUUUGUCGUUUCCAUUUUCUUUACUGAAAGGACUUAGAUGUGUUCCACUUCGUCCGUUUCUUUCAAUGGAAAGAUGUGCAUGCAAACAGUUGUUACUGUUAAAUGUGUGGCUAUUAUGUAUUUCUUCCUACUUAAUAUUAUUUCUUUAAUUUCUGUCAUAUUGUUUCUGUGCUCAUUAAUAUGCAUGAUUUUACUAUUUUUAAAAUUCCUUGUUUGAAUUUUUCUUUCUUUUUGUUUUGCUGUGCUUAUUAUAAUCUUUCAGGGGAGCAGAUCAGAGACGAAUACAUUAUUUUUACCUCAACGUCAGACAGUAGAAUUUAAAUGAAAAUACAUUUUUGUAAUCGACUAUUUUAUCUAACCUCUGUAGGGAAAGACCUAUCAAACAGUCAAUUAAGAUUCUCUGCUUCAGAUAUAUCCCAAACAAAAAUAAUCAUUGCUGUUAUUAUUAUUGUUGUUGUUAUUGUUGUUAAUUACAUUAUGAAAACUUGAAAAAUGUUGACAAUUAUCAAAACGAAAUCUUGAGGAUCUCAAGAAAUUAACAGCGAAUGAUAAUCAUCUUUUCUGCAAUUGACACAGGUUUUGGCCUUUUUUUUUGGCGGCCGAGGGUAGGGUAGUCGAUUUUAGUGAUCCUAAUGCUCAGCUUGUACUUAUAUUAUUGACCUCGCUGGAGAUGGAAAGUAAAGUCAGCCUCGGCGGAAUUUGAACUCAGAAGGUAAAGACAGACGAAAUGACGCUAAACAAUUUUUCCGGAGUACUAACGAUUUUGUCAGCUCAGUGAUAUAUAAAGAAUAAUAAUAAUAAUAAUAAUAAUAAUAAUAAUAAUAAUAAUAAUAAUAAUAAUAAUAAUAAUAAUAAUAAUAAUAAUAAUAAUAAUAAUAAUAAUAAUAAUAAUAAUAAUAAUAAUAAUAACAAUAAUAAUAAUAAUAAUAAAUGCCCUGAUGCAGAACCAGGCAGUGGCUCCCAUGGCUGCUGAUCUUAACUGAUUGGAAGUGUCAUCAUGUACAUUGUUUUGUCUUGGUAUAAAAGAUGGGCUACAGCAAACAUUCUGCUCAAUACAACAGAUUUGCUUGUCAGUUGUUUGAACAUAAACAGUUGAGCAUGCCUCUUUGUGGCUGACGAUAUGUACACCUCUCAUAACGAGGUGCGGGAGCAUCAUAACCAUGUGUUGAGAGGGAUUCUUUGGGGAUGUUUGAAUAAUUCACCUUUGGAAACAUGGAUGGUUCGUUCAACAUCCUUAAACAACCCAUAUUCAGGGACCUUUUGAGCGGGAAAAAAAUUCUAACUGGGCCCCACCCGUAAGGUCAUGUGCUGUUUAUCUUGAUAUGAGAUCACCAUGUCGCGCAUAUAUGGUUGUGGUGCAUGCGCCUAGUGUACCCUUAUCAGACGGGUAGACAUGAUGGGUAUACUGGGCAUCGCAUAUUUUACCCCAGUGCCACUUUGAUGGCAUGCACUGCUCUCUCACUUAAUAAUAAUAAUAAUAAUAAUAAUAAUAAUAAUAAUAAUAAUAAUAAUAAUAAUAAUAAUAAUAAUAAUAAUAAUGAUGAUGAUGAUGAUGACUUUCUGGGGUGAGCUAGCAGAAAUGCUAGCGUGCUGGACAAAAUGCUUAGUGGCACUUCGUGUGCCUUUACGUUCUGAGUUCAAAUUCCGCCAAAGUCGACUUUGCAUUUCGUCUUUCCGGGUUCGGCAUCUUGGGUACUAGCGUCAUGGUAAUCGACUUACCCGCUCCCACGGCUUCUCCUUCACUACACAUUCUUCAUUUAAACUAGAUUGCUUCCUUAUCUAUGUUGUUGCUGACGUAUCUUGUUCUGAUUGACUGAUCCCGCGCAGUUAGAAUCGGGCCCGCAUUCUCUUUAUUACCAGACCCUGCCUAAAUCACUGAGAUGGUUUCUGAUUAUGAUAUUCUUUUCCUUGAACACGACUUUCCGCGUAAACUCUACAGUUUGUAUUGUUGCCUUGUAGCCCGGAAAUCUUUAUUUUUUCAUUCUUUCUUUAGUUAACAUAUUCUUCUGUCUUACACAUAAGUAACUUGUCGUUGUCAGUAUUUCAUUAAUAUCUUUACUUCUACUUCCAAACAAAUUUCUAUAGCUAUAAAUCUUCCUCCAACCUUUGUAUAUAAAUCCAUUCUGUUUACAUCUGCCAGUGGAUGUAAGGCCCUGUAGAUUGUCAGCAAUUUCCUUGUUUUUCGAUCUACGUUCUCAAAGCCUUCCUUUGUUCAUUUCAUUAUUCAAACGUUGUACCUAAUGAUGUGAAGUGCAUGGCUUAGGGAUUAAAGCGUCAGGCUCGCAAUUAUGGGGCAGUGAGUUCGAUUCUCAGACAGGGCAGUGUGUAUUGUUCUUGAGCAAGACACUUAUUUAACGUUGCUUCAGUCCACUCAGCUGUAGAAAUGAGUUGUGAUGUCACUGGUGCCAAGCUGUAUCGACCUUUGCCUUUCCCUUCGAUUAUAGUGGUGGCGUGGAGAGGGGGAGACUGGUUUUAUGGGUGACUACUUGUCAUCCAUAAACAACCAUGCUUGGACUUGUGCCUCGAAGGGUAACUUUCUAGUAGCAAUCUGAUGGUCAUUGAUGACCGAAGGGGAUCUUAAAUUACUUAACGAUGUGUAUUGCUUUUCAGUUUGUAACAGUGGUUGUAUUAUGCCACUGAAUAUGUAUUUUAGUGCUUUUUAAAAAAAAUAUUCUUUCUGGAUUUAAAUUUUCGUUAUUUUAUUCUGUAUAUCUCCAGUUUCCAAAAUUCCUACAUUUGUAUCAACUACAAUAUCUUCUUAUUCUGCACAUUUAUAGUUUCAGUUUUGGUAUUUCUUUUUUCUAUCGUACGAAUUUCAUCAUCUAGACCUUCUCCUAUUCCACACUGUUAUUGCUAUAAUAAUAAUAAUAAUAAUAAUAAUAAUAAUAAUAAUAAUAAUAAUAAUAAUAAUAAUAAUAAUGGUAAAUGUUAUUAUUAUUAUUGAGUGAGAGAGCAGUGCAUGCCAUCAAAGUGACACUGGGGUAAAAUAUACGAAGCCCAGUAUACCCAUCAUGACUACCCGUCUGAUAAGUGUACACUAGGCACAUGCAUCACAACCAUAUGUGCGCGACAUGGUGAUCUCAUAUGAAGAUAAACAGCACAUGACCUAACAGGUGGGGCCGAGUUAGAAUUUUCUUCAGGUUGAGUAACCCAUCCCACUCGAAAGGGCCCUGAAUAAGGGUUGUUUAAGGAUGUUGAACGAAACACCCAUGUUUCCAGAGGUGAAUUAUUCAAACCCCAAAGAAUCCCUCUCAACACAUGGCUAUGAUGCUCCCGCACUACUUCUGCUCGUGAUCAUAGAUGCACAUAUCGUCAGCCACCAAGGGACAUGCUCAACUGUUUAGGGUCAAACAACUGACAAGCAAAUCUGUGGUAUUGAGCAGAAUGUUUGCUGUAGCCCAUCUUUUAUAUCAAGACAAAACAAUGUACAUGAUAACACAUCCAAUCAGUUAAGAUCAGAAGCCAUGAGAGCCACUGCUUAUUAUUAUUAUUCUUCAGUAGUUUUAUUUUUAUUGCGUGCUUUCACUUCACUACCGAGCGCAGCUCUGUGUGCCUUGGUUAUGUGCUGUGAUUUGUUGUGAUGCUCUGAUGGUUAUUGUAUGGAAAGUGUUCUGCGUAGGAUGUGUGCAGUGCCUAGUAGUUCAAUUUUCUGUAUGUUAUAUGUGUUUGUAAGUCCUGGUGUUUUUGUUAUGUAUUUGUCUGAAUAUUUUUUUUAUCAUUCCUAAUGCACCUACUAUGAUAGGAAUUGUUUCUGUUUUCAGAUUCCACAUUCUAGUUACCUCUAUUUCCAGGUCUUUGUAUUUUGAGAGUUUCUCCAUUUCUUUUAGAGACACGUUGUCAUCUGCCGGUAUUGAUACAUCAAUUAGAAAGCAUUUUUUUAUUAUUAUUAUUAUUAUUACUAUUAUUAUUAUUAUUAUUAUUAUUAUUAUUAUUAUUAUUAUUAUUAUUAUUAUUAUUAUUAUUAUUAUUGAAUGAAAGAGCAGUGCAUGCCUUCAAAGUGACACUAGAGUAAAGUGCACGAAACCAAGUAUAUAUAUGAUGACUACCUGUCUGAUAAGAUUACACAAGGCACUUGAAUCUCAACAAAAUGUGCACCACAUGUUGAGCUCAUAUCAAGAUUAAAAGCGUUUAAUAUUGCACGUGAGACCCAGUUAGAGUCCACUUCAUGUCGAGUAACCCAUCCACUCAAAAGCUCCUUUUAUAGAAGUUGUUUAAGGAUGUCGAACGAAACACUCAUGCUUCAAAAGAUAAAUUAAUCAGACACAAAAUAAUUCCUCUCAACACAUAGCUAUGAUGCUCCCUCGCUACUUCUACUCAUGAUCAGAGACAUACAUAUCGUCAGCCAUCAAGGAACAUGAUCAACUGGUUAACAGAAAGCAACUGACAAGCAAUCCUGUGGUACUGGACAGAAUAUUUGCCGUAGCCCACAUUCCAUACCAAACAAAACAUGAACAUGAUAGCACUUCCAAUCAGUUAAGAUUACAGAACAAGAGGACCAAUGCCUGGCACUGCAUCAAAGUGUUUCCUCUUCUUCUUCUUCUUCUUCUUCUUCUUCUUCUUAUUAUUAUUAUUAUUAUUAUUAUUAUUAUUAUUAUUAUUAUUAUUAUUAUUAUUAUUAUCAUUAUCAUCAUCACCAUUAUCAUCAUCACCAUCAUCAUCAUCAUCAUCAUCAUCAUCAUCAUCCUUCUCCUCCUCCUUCUCAUCAUCAUUAUCAUUAUCAUUAUCAUUAUUAUUAUUAUUAUUAUCAUCAUCAUCAUCAUCAUCAUCAUCAGUAUCAUUAUCAUUAUUAUUAUUAGUAUUAUUAUUAUUAUUAUCAUUAUUUUAUGUGUGACAAUUGUCUUGCAUUUGUAUAAGUUGACUCCAUGACUCACCUCAAGAAAACACAAGUUAGAAAUUACUGUCGGUGUUAAGCCUAGGUUGCCAUAUAUUUGGUUUUGUACAUAGUGUUGUUCUAGAGAAUGUUUAAGAAACCAUAAGAAAAUUAUGUAUUUGCUUUAAAAUUUGAGAUUGCAUAGACAGUAUUUUACGUAGGAUAUGGGCAGUUCCCAUGAGCACAAUCUUUUUAAUUUCUGACAUUUGGGGGCUUCCUGGUAUCUGAGCUAGGUAGCAAUCAGCCCCCUUUUCAUUGAUUCCUAAGGCACCUAUGACAUGUAUUGUUUUAGUAUUCGGGUUCCACAUUUUGCUCAGUUUUUGGUAGGUCUUGACAGAUACGUUUAUAUCGAUUGGUAUAGUCAUAUCAAUGAGGGGGCAGGAUUUUGUCUGCAAUCUUUCAAUAUGAUGUCUGGCAUAUUUGCAUCUAUCUUUCUGUCAGUUUGUAUGGUGAAAUUCCAGAGGAGUGAGAUGUGAUCAUUUUCAAGGACUGGGGGUGGUUUGGGUUCUCACAAGGUUUUAUCAUGGGCAAGUCCAGGCUUUUGCAAAUUACGCUGUGAAUAUAUUGUGCAGCUCCAUCAUGCCUGUUGAAAUACUCUGUAGGCGCAAGAAGACUGCACAUGGAGACAACACGAUCAAGGAAGCACGAAACAUUUCUAGCAACAAUCAACUGUGCCAGGAAUAUAUCACCACCACCACCACCACAGAAAUGGGUACAAUUUCGAACAACGAAAGAGAAGUUUUACGUAGAAAUGACGUUUCUUCCGCCAAAGUUAGAAAUAAGUUUUAAAUUAUUUCGUUAAAGGAUAACGAAAAGCAUUUAAAGAAGAUUGUAAGAUGUGAGAAAAAGAAGGCCUCACUAAAUGCGUCUCAAAACCUGUUAGCGGAAACCGAAAAAAGAACAAGCAUGUACAGAUGUCUGUCCAUGGAAAGAAGACUGGAAAAAAUAAAAUUAGACCAAGCCGAGAUCUGCCUGAAAAAUAUAUGGUGGGAGGAUGUCAGCUAUGUCUGCCAAGUUCGGCUGUAUCAAAGUUAUAUUCCAGUCGGAAUUGCUGGCCCAUAAACACUCAACUGUCCCAUUAUAAAUGGAGGAGUUCACUUUAAUUCACAUGUAUCUGGAACAGAGAGUGAUCUGAAUAAAAAUAAGUAACGUACCACCAGAAAUCGAUUGCUGGUCGGAAGUGAAAGCCGUUGAACUAAAAAGUCUUAGAAGCCUCCUAGAUAUCCAAAAAUCAAAAAAGAAGACUGAGUUAAGAUUGGGUUGGAAAUUGUACUGCAAGUAAAACCAGGAACUGUAGAGAAAUUUAUCGACCUAAUAGAAAUCCCAGGAGGCCAGCAUCUGUAGGUAAUCUUCAAAGAAAGAGGCCGCGAUCUUAUUUCUAUGGCGAUUCAGGUCACAUCAGUGUCAAAUGCCCGAAGGAACGUAUGAACCACAGAAACCAUUAAUACGACUACAACCACAACACACACCACAGCAAGGACAGUAGCAGCAGAAACGGCAACAACACCAACAGAGACAAUUGGACAGCAUCCACAAAAACCAGUAGAGCGCCGUCAGCAGCAGCAGCAUAUACAGCAAGGACUGGAAUGGAAACAACUGCACAACGUUAAACAGAAUGCACACCAGCAGCCCCAGGAAUCCCAUAACAAACAGUAACAUCAACGGCAGCAACGAGGAACUCCCACAAAAAAUAUUGGCAAUACCGUUAACAACGCCAACAGUAAAACAAAUACCUUCAAAAGAAAUACCCCUCCACUAUUCGGACAACGAAAACGACGGAAAUAAGGAGGGACAGGCAUGGCAAACAGUCACAUGAAAAAGAAAGAAAAGACAGAAGAACACAAACGAUAACCUGAAAAACGACAGGCAGGUACGAGAAAAUGGAAGAGGGAACGAACAAUAACAACAUCACCCAAUGCAUAAACUUACCUACAUACACACAGAGGCAACAACAGCAUCAUCCCCGUCACUACAAACACAAUCUCCACGACCUAAAUACACAACAGAUGGAUUGCAUUCCACCAAAUGAUCGUAAAUCAGACAUUAUAUAUCUCACGUUUAUAAGCACAAGAAAUAAUGAAUUAAUAGAACGCAUCCACAAACACAUGGAUAUUAAUGAUUCGAAUUAUGUCACACCAACCACAAAUAUACCGGCACUUAUAAAAAUAUUCAAAGCUACUCAAAGCGACUACAGAAUUUUGAAAUCUAGAUAUUUCCAGUUUGUAGCGGACUUUCAAAAGUAUCUCAGUAUCAGACUUUACAAGUAACUUGCUAGAGAAAAAAAUCUACCUCCAACGGGAGAGACGAAGUAGGCACUCCCAAUCCCCUACAAAGCCUUGCUAAGUAGCUCUCUCCUACUUCCACACAUUCCCAUCGUCCAACGUGGUAUUGCUUAGAGUGGGCAGUAUAAAUGGACUCGUCUUGGAAGCAAGGUCGCUUGCUCAAUGACUUCAGGAGGCAAAACUUUGACGUAAAAGGUGCCAGUGAGACCAGAAUCUCGGACACGCGCGCCUCAGCGCCCAUUUAUAUUGGUCGCUAGGUAUGCAUCGCCCGGAGUGGCACAGCCGGAUUUCUUUAGACGCUUGGAAGUCUUUCUAGAGACGUCUCGCUCCUUAAUUUUAGCGGGCGACUGGAUGCCAUCUUGUAUGCAGAUGUACAUUGCGAUGUCGACUUUGCGUUUCAUCAUUUCGAAAUGGAUAAAUGAACCCAAAUGUGGAACACUGGGGUCGAUGUAAUCGACUAGUCACCUCCGCCAAAAUUUCUGGCGUUGUGCCUAUAGUAGAAAGGAUUAUUAUUAUUAUUAUUAUUAUUAUUAUUAUUAUUAUUAUUAUUAUUAUUAUUAUUAUUGUUGUUGUUGUUGUUGUUGUUGUUGUUGUUGUUGUUAUUAUUAUUAUUAUUAUUAUUAUUAUUAUUAUUAUUAUUAUUAUUAUUAUUAUUAUUAUUAUUAUUAUUAUUAUUAUUAUUAUUAAGGCGCCAAAGUGGCAGAAUUGGUAGCACACCAGACAAUGUGCUUAGCUCCUUUCCUCCCAUCUUUACGUUCUGUUUUCAAAUUCCACCGUAGUCGAUUUUACCUUUCAUCUCUUUCGCGGUUGAUAAAAUAAGUUCUAGUCGAGCCCUGGUGUGGGCUAAAUCGACCUACACCUUGCUGGCCUUGUGCUAAGAUUUUAAACCAAUAUUUUAAUUAUUAAGGUGGUGAGGUUGCAGAAUCGUUAGCGUGUCAGACAAAUUGUUUUAUAGCUUCCGACUCAUUAUUUUCGGCGCUAUAAUUCAUCCGAGAUUGACUUUGUCUUUCUUCCUUCCGGUGUUAAUAAAAUAGAUUCAUUAUAUCUAUCACUGGGGUAGAUAUAUAUAUAACUGACGAAUCACCAUUCUCGGAAAUUCUGACUUUAUGCCAAAAUUGGAAGCCAUUUUUAUUAUUAACCAUAAGGUAGUGAGUAUACAGAAUCAUUAGUACCUCGGUCAAAAUGCGGAGCGGCAUUCUUUUAGCUUUACUUUCUGAUUUUAAAUAACACCAACAUCGACUUUCUCUUGCAACUUUAUGAGAUUGACAAAAUAAAGCAUCGGUCACGUAUUGGAGUCGAUGGUAUUGACAAAUCUACUCUCAAUAAAAUUGCUUACCUUGUGCCAAAAUUUGAAAUCAGUUGAGCCAUACAACCCAAAUUCAAUUAUGUUUAUACACCUCAAGACCCAACUUAGGUUUUUAUUAGACAUGGACUUACUAAACAGAAUAUUUUUUAUCUUGUAAAAUAUUCUGUGAAUCUGUUCUGAUUGAGAAGUGUAAACAAUCUCAGCAAUAAAUAUGUAAAAUAUGUGUCAGAGAGCAAUAAUAAAAUUACUCAAAACAAAAAUAUCUAAAAAUAAGUGAUGACAUCUAAGUUUCUCUGUGACUAUUUUGACGUGAAACUUUCAGAAUACGUUCAGUAAAAACUUCAAAACGAAGGAAAUGUUGGAAACUAUUUUUUGAACUAUACAUUUUUCUUAAAUCUUAAACGUUGGUAUUGCUAACUCUACAACACAAAUCUAAAUACACUUACACAUUUCUUUACUGACACGAAAAUCUCUCUGCGCAGAGAUAUAUCAGUAUCUAUUUUUAUAUAUUUUGUUCCUUUUAUUUAUCAACUUGCAAUUUCAAGUGAAUUCAAGUAUCUUAGUGGUUAGCAUAUUAAGCCUGGGAUCAUAUUGCCGAGAGUUCAGUUCCUGGACGAGGCUUGCUUUGUGUCCUUGAGUAGGUACCUUCAUGUCAAGGUGUGCCAAGUUUAAAUAGCUAAAAAUAAGUACUAGUGCAACCCCUCUGCUGGAGAGAUCUUAUAAUUGAUGUAAUGCAGGCUGAAAAAUCGAAAAUAUGUGAGGAUAUCUAUUUCUCCAGUACACUGGAUAGUUGCCUAUGAUACAUGUUUCCAAAUCAUACUCGUUCUCGGAUGACAGCAAACUGUUUAAAUCCAAAGAUAUCUCUUUCAACCAUUUACCCAGUUAGGUAACGAAUACCCAGUGACAUAAUAUUCUGUCUACUGAAUGAGCUCCACACCUAUAUAUUCUCUGAAUCCAUCAAAGUUCUCUUUUCCUUUAUUUCCAUUUCUUUUCCUUUUUAUUUCAAUUUCUUUAUCUUACAAUACAUAUUCAUAUAUGUAUAUAUAUUUAUAUAUAUAUAUAUAUAUAUAUAUAUAUAUAUAUAUAUAUAUAUAUAUAUAUAUAUAGAUAGAUAGAUAGAUAGAUAGAUAGAUAGAUAGAUAGAUAGAUAGAUAGAUAGAUAGAUAGAUAGAUAUGAUACAUAUAUAUGUAUCAAAUGAAAUCAAAAACAGAACACAAAGGAUGUCGCGGUACACGUUUUUCAAGCUUUAAAAACGAUCUAUUCUUACAUCAUUGUAUAAUCGACAUAAAGGAUGGUUUAAAGCUCACUUCAGCCGCAUGCAAUUGCUAUACCAAAGAUUUACAUCACAUUAUGAAAAAUCCGAAAGGUAUAUUUGGUAUUACAAACAUACUUUCUCAGCGAGACUCGAUAUACCUACCAUUAUGGGUAAUACCAAAUGUACCUUUCGGAUUUUUCAUAAUGUGAUGUAAAUCUUUGGUAUAGCAAUUGCAUGCGGCUGAAGAGAGCUUUAAACCAUCCUUUGUGUCGAUUAUACAAUGAUGUAAGAAUAGAUCGUUUAUAAAGCUUGAAACACGUGUACCGCGACAUACUUUGUGUUCUGUUUUUGAUUUCAUUUGAUACAUUUACCCUCUCACCUCUGCUACUAGCUGGCGUAUACAGGUGCUUACACUUAUCAAGUAUUCAUCCUAAAUUUAUUAUAUAUAUAUGUAUAUAUAUAUAUAUAUAUAUAUAUAUAUAUAUAUAUAUAUAUAUACAUAUACAUAUAUACAUAGAUAUACAUAGAUAUAUGUGUGUGUGUAUGUGUGUGUGUAUAUGUUUGUGUGUCUGUGUUUGUCUCCUAAACAUCGCUUGACAACCGUUACUGGUGUGUUUACGUCCCCCGUGACUUAGCGGUUCGGCAAAAUUGACUGAUAGAAUAAGUACGAAGCUUCUAAAGAAUAAGUAAAUUUGCUCGGCUAAAGGCGGUGCCCUAGCAUGGCCGCCGUCAAGUGACUGAAACAUGUAAAAGUAUAAAAGAAUAUAUAUAAUGUUUAUGUAUGUAUACAUAUACAUAGAUACCUACAUAAGUAUGUAGGUAUCUAUUGUAUCAGUAUCGAGUUUGCACUAAGUUUCACCUUUAGUUCGGCUGGUUAGAACAGCUAGCUAAGGAUAAAACUCUGCGUUGACUGGUAACUAUGAUAUAAUAAAUAUAUAUAUCUAUCCAUCCUAGUUAUAUCGGUAGCAAAAGGAAAACUUCAAGAAGAAAACAACUUAUAAAGAAGAAAAAGAAGACCGCGGAAGCGGUGGAAUAAGGAAAUUGAAGAAAAUAAAUUGGGGUGGGCAAGUUAUAUAUAUAUUUUUUAAAUAAUCCAAUAAAAUUUGAUAUAAUAUUAUUAGCUGACUCUCCCUCCUACUAUGUUUCCUUUUCUUUACUUCCCUCAUUUGUUCUUUAGCUUUUUGCUGGUCUGAACAAUAAUAAGAUUCAAUCUUCCAAAUCCAGCAAAAGUACUCGUGCUGCAGUAAAAAGGAAGGCCCUUUAGAUAGUCUUAUGUCAAAGCCCUAACAUCUAUUAACUCCGUCGUCAAUUACAUCUAUUAAUUCCCCACUUCAGGUUUUCUUUUAUCUACACAUCAAAGAUAGAAAUAGAGAAAGAGCGACCGUUUCAAAUGUCAUGUUACCUGAAGGCCAGUGAUAUGGUUGGUAUUCAGAACUGAUAUAUAUAUAUGUAUAUAUAUAUAUAUAUAUACAUACAUACAUACAUACAUACAUACAUACUUACAUACAUACAUACAUACAUGCAUACAUACAUACAUAAUCCAGUGUUUUAAAUUUGUAACCAUUCCUUUCUUUUGCCAUGGUCUGAUUCAUUAUUGCUUUAUUAUACUGGGAGGUUUUAUUAAGAGUAUUUACACGCCAGUCACCUUCGCAUGGAGAGCAAUUGCGAAGACAUUUCUACUGCUCCUCUCUCCAUGUGGUCACUGUUUUUGAUUAUUCAUAGUGUCAAAAUUUCAUUACAAAUUUUAAUAAUGUGCCUAGUGAUAUUGUCCAGUUAAGCUGAUACAUAUUCAUGAGAUGUAUUUGCUGGGACAGAGUUUAUCAGAAGUAUUCAGUAGAAACAAAAAUGAAAUAAUGUCAUUGCAUUCAUACAUAACUUUCAAGGACCUCAUACAAAAGAGAAAACUGGGAAACUGACAAUUAUUUGUCGCCUAUUUCUUCAGAUUGGUUUUCAAAUAAUUAAUUGAAAUAUGUAGAGGAAUCGUUCGUUCCUUACCUCAUUGAGUUGCAUGUCAAAUUUCAGAUGAUAUAUUCAUUCUUACUUGUUCAAAGACAUGUAUAAUCAGAUAUACAUAUAUAAACGUGCGUGCGUGUAUGUGUGUGCAUGUUUAAUUCUGUUAUAACAUGAUGCUAAGAUGCUAAUAUCCAAUUUAAUUGCACUUGAGGAAGGACAGAGGAGGUCCUGCAUACGUCGCUAGUCUAUCAAAGUGAAUGUUUAUACAUGUCUUUCCUGCUCUCUGUUUUGUAUUCGCAGGAUUUGAAUUAAUAAGAUAAAAUUCUAAAUGUCAAUAACUUGCGAAGAUAUGUAACCUCAGCAAAAUGGCCAUAACAGCUCUGAUAUGUCAUUUCCAACACCUCAUACACUUCCACAAUUAUUUCAAACAUGUCAAUCACGUUUAGUUUGGGAAUAAAAGCAACAAAUGCGUCUUAAUCGAAGAAUCAACCCAGAUAUCUUACUGAUAUCUACAUAGUUAAUGGAAAGAAGAGAUACAGAGGACAGCAAUGUGAACACCUGCAUAGUAUUUGUGUUUAGAACGUUGAAGAACGUUAAAUACUAUAGAGUUUCCUUCCUAUGGCUCAAAACUUUUACAUCUAGACGACUUGGCUAACACAUAUUUAUCUAUAUUUAUUCACCAUGGUCCUUGUAAGCAGAAUCCACUCGUUUGCAAACAUUUGGGUCAUGUGGCACAGCAUAUUAGCAGAGAAAUUCAAAAUUGCGUUUAUCUAGAGAUUGCAAAGGCGUGAUAUUGUCGUUUCUGCCAUGAGCUAAUUUUAUAUCUUACUAAAUAAUGCUACAUACAGUAGCAUAUCAGUCUUAUUAGCCACCAAAUAAUUGUGAAUAAGAAAUCAUCUGUGAGAUUCCUUGAGAUUCCUUGGGACAAAGGGUAAUAUGAAUUUGACGAUAGAUAAGUGAGAUAACUAAUAGCAGAAUACGGAGUAAAACAAUACAGCACAUAAUAAAAGCUACAAACUUAAUUCACUAUAAAGGACUUUACAGAUUGGUUGAUUCUUCUUAAAUGAUGAGUACUCAAGCUUUCCAGAGUAGCAUUUGGUAUUUCUAUAAUAGUUGACUGAGAACCCUAAGUUAAUCCAACACAGUUUUGGUUAUCUUCAACUAGCACUGACUUAUCGGUAUAAAGAAGAAGGUACAUAUGAAACGUUAUUCAGUUGGAUUGCUUGUACUUCAUGUGUUGGGCAUCCCUGAUAUCAGCUGAUGAUAUUUAAGUGCAUAUGUAUGUAUAUAUAUAUAUACAUAUAUUUAUUGAUAUAUAUAUAUAUAUAUAUAUAUAUAUAUAUAGGCGCAGGAGUGGCUGUGUGGUAAGUAGCUUGCUAACCAACCACAUGGUUCCGGAUUCAGUCCCACUGCGUGGCAUCUUGGGCAAGUGUCUUCUGCUAUAGUCCCGGGCCGACCAAUGCCUUGUGAGUGGAUUUGGUAGACGGAAACUGAAAGAAGCCUGUCGUAUAUAUGUAUAUAUAUAUAUGUGUGUGUUUGUGUGUCUGUGUUUGUCCCCCUAGCAUUGCUUGACAACCAAUGCUGGUGUGUCUAUGUCCCCGUUACUUAGCGGUUCGGCAAAGUACUGGGCUUGCAAAAGAAUAAGUCCUGGGGUCGAAUUGCUCGAUUAAAAGGCGGUGCUCCAGCAUGGCCGCAGUCAAAUGACUGAAACAGGUAAAAAGAGUAAAAGGGUAAAAGAGUAUAUAUAUAUAUAUAUAUAUAUAUAUAUAUAUAUAUAUAUAUAUAUAUAUAUAUAAAAAUUACAGAAAAACAAAAAACGAAGACAGGUGUAUCAAUAAGAAGCAGGUGUAUUAGUUUGACGCUCGGGAAAGUGAGAAAUUCUUUUCCGGUUCGAGCCUACGUUCUUCAACAGAAAGGAAUAAGAGAAAAUAAACAGAGGGAAUAUACACGUUUGCUCCCUCUCUCUUUCUCGUUUUCUCUAUCUGUGUGUGUCUGUCAGUCAGUGUGUGUGUAUGUCAGUCAGUCUCUGUCUCUGUCUGCCUCUGUCUCUGUUUUUGUCAGUCUGUCUGUCUCACUCUCUCUCUCUCUCUCUCUCUCUCUCUCUGACACAUUGAGGCACACGCACAUAUUCAUGUGUGUGUGUUUAUGUAUAUUUUAUGUUUAAUUUGAAGACUUAUACGUAAACUAAAAUAUGGCUUUAACAGAGUGACUCGAACAAAGACAAGGAAAUGGGCACAAGUCAAGUGACUGUUUCACAAGAGAUUACUGAAAUCACGAUGCAGCUUUGCCUUGUUAGGAGUUUAAUUGGUGUACUACUGCCUAAGCACGAUUAGUGAGUUUAUAAAAAAAAUAGUAUGGAUAUUUUUAGUUGAGAAAAUACAGUUGCAUCAAUUCAAAUUAGAUGAAGAUGUGCAUAAUUACUUUUUAAAAGUCAGUUGUGCAAGAUUGUUUCGAUGAUCAGAAGAAGAAAAAAGGUAACUGAAGUUAAAAUCUUAUUACAUGAUAUAGAUGAAUGUAAUUUCAAUGAAAACCAAGAAUUAACGAAAUAAAAAAGAAAAUAAAAUCAUCCAAAAAUUAGUUCAUUAACCAUUUUUUCCCCAAUGUCUUUCACAUUCAUGCAAGUAUAAUACUAUGUUUACAAGCACACAUGCACACCCGCACACGUGUUUAUAUGUGUAUGAUAUGUGUCUACAGAUAUCAUAGGCACAUACGCAAGUAUAUAUAAACACAGAAAUACACUCAUAUAUAGACAGAUGGUUAGAUCAGGAGAUAUGACAACGUUAUGUAUGCUUAUGUGUAAGAAUAUAUACAUGUAGGUAAGCAUACAUACACAUAUACAUACAUAAAUACAUACAUAUAUACAUACAUAUACGCAUACAUAUAUAAGAUGUUCGGGUUAAAUUUUACAGAUUGCAUAAAACGAAAAGAAGACACAACGUGCUAUACAAAAGUAAGGGUAUUUUUCAAAACAUCCUGAAAAUAUUAACUAUAUUAAAGCUGGGAGAUAACAGUUUACACAAAGUAGUGCCCUUAGCUUCCAUAACGACCUGAAGAUAGCUCUGGAACUUGGCGCAAACGUUCCUCACAGUAUUCCUAUGAAUGUCUUCGAACGCCUCCUUCAUCUAGGCCACCAGCUUGCCCUUGGGUUUGCAAGCAGUGUUGUUGGUGUCUUUGUCUUUUUGAACCACCCCCCACACAUACUUAUCUAUGGGAUUACAAAUGGGGUAUUACUAGGCCACAAAUUGGGGCUGUUGAAGUCGAAGUAACUCAGUUGGUUAACACCCAUUGUCUCAAUUUGUCACUAUUGGAAAUGCAGCCGGAAAAUCUUGUGCGGAUUACUUGUAACAGGUUUAUUACUGUUCUUAUUCUAACACAUGUCUAUUGUCCGGAAAUCUCUCGUCGUACAUCUGUGAACUCUUCAGCGACAAUUUCCGUCCUCGUGUGAGCGCUUACUCCGGUUUGUUCAUCCUGUUUUUCUAUGAUGUAAAUCCUUUUAUGCGCAUGCGUUUGCGACUGUAUUUGUGUGUGUAUGUUUAUGUUUGUGUGUGUGUACGUUUGUGUAUGUGUCUGUACAUGUGGGUGUGUGUUUGUGUGUGUGUGCGUGUGUGUGGUUGUUCAUAGUAGCACUAUGACCCUCUCCUCAGCCUCGUACUCUCUCCCGUUGUCGCUACUGCUGCCCUUCACCUCGACGUUUGAUACCGUUCUUGUAUGCGUCUGUUUGUGUGUUCGCCCACACUGCUGACAUUGUGGUAGUUGUUGUUGCUGUUGUUGAUUUUUCAGUUGUUGAUGUUAUUGCGGCCGUUUGUGAAGUUACUGUAUGUGUGUAUGUGCCUGUAUAUUGGUUCAUUUACUAUGUUGUUUGCAUUGUUUGCCCUUUAUACAGUUUUAUUUAUUUUCUUACUUCUCUCUAUUUUUUACUAUAUUUAUUAUAGGUAUUUGAAUAUUCGUCUAUUCUGUGUAUAUUACACUGUUUGUAUCUGGCCUUUUUUUCCUUCUGUUUUUAGUAAUCAUGUUGUGUGGUGCAGUGGUGGGUGCUAUUCUUCCAUUUGUAUUUUCUGUUGAGGCUCGGUCUGUUUAUUGCCAUUGUGAUUUUUCUAAGUGUCGUGUCAGUUGUAUGAGUUUAUAAUACCUUAGCCACUAUACUAUAACCCGAGCCUCUAUGUUGGGAGAAUGUUGAGCAUGUUGGUAGAACGAUCACUAGCUUUUUUCCUUCUUUGAGCUAGCUCCAGUGUCACCUCUACGCUCUCCAGUGUAAAUAGUUAUGUUUUCACACCGUCCAUUAGUACAUCGUAAGCUAUACACUAUAUUACUAAACUUACGGUAAACAUGCGGUUUUAUCUUACAUGCUAUCCAGUUUUUCUCCGUACAUGGGGAUCUAUCGAAAGAAUAAGUUCUACAGAUCAGGGAUUAUAUGGGGGCACCAUUUUGAUCAUAGACAGGAAGUAAGAGAUCCGGUAGUUGUCGCCAAUAUUAGCUCCGCAGACCUGUCCCGUUGGUGGUCCUAUCACUGGGGCAGUGGACGCCUUAAGGUUCUUCCUGAGCCCAUACAAUGGCGGGAUGUCAUUAUUAGAGGCCUGGAAGUUGUAGGUCGUGUUCUUUUAUGCCCCUAGGAUGUUUGACCACAUGUUUGAUCAAAAUGUCCUCGGAUGUGUGUGGCAGCACAGAGGACCUCCUCAAAAGAAUCAAUGAAUGCAACCAUAUCUACGACCUGAAUAGGCAGAAUGAACGUAAUAUCCUUAUACCCAUCCAUUGAUGUUGAUUUUGCUGUGGAGAAAUGUGUGGAGGUGAUGAGCGAGACCAAUGUAGAGUUUCGUGAUGUUGACACAGAAAAACUGUGACAAUGAUUACUUAGAUGAAUAUGUUCUUACUUGCUUCUGCCCCACUAAACUAUUUGAUCAAGCUUGAGCAACAAGAAAAAAAUCGUUGGUUCACAGAAGUAGAGUUUGAAGCUAUCAAAAGACUGGUAUUGGAAAAUAGCAGCAAAGAUAACGAUGAUAAUACAGAUCUUACUAAUAAAUUUAAUUUCAUGAACAAAAGGCAAUCUACGACAGAAUAGAGGCAAGACUACAAGAGAACUAUAGUGACAUUAUUUGCAACCUUAAAAAUGUUGAUCGGUGGAAAUUGAACCAAGAUACGAAAAAUCUCAAUGGAAUUCUGAAAUACAUCAUAACAAACAACACCACAGAAACAAAUAAUUUGAUUAAGGCAACAAGUAUUGCUUUAGCAGAAAACGUGGGUGUUGAUGUCAUGAAAAAGAAAUAUAAUGGGAGUGGCAAAAGGAAAUAUUCAUGGUGGGAAGGAAGAAUACAGGCAAGGUUAGAAUGUUCUCGAAGGACAUUUCUGUGUUAGACCGAAAAGAAAAAUGGGAGCUUAAAAGCGAACGAAAAUACAGGUCGCUGAAAAGGAAGUAUAACAUUGAAAGAAAGGGCAUGAAUGUGGUAAUGGAGGAACUGAAACAACGCCUCGUUGCAAAGAAAGCAAGAUGGAAACAUAUGACCAAAGAAUGAAGGGUUACCAGCAGUAUAGUAUAUUCAGGUUAGUUUAGAAAAGAUUCUAUAAAGAAAUAGAUGGAAAGUGUUCAUUUGAAAAGUUGAUACCAGAUAACAAUGAAAGUCAGAGGUUUUGGAGUGACAUCUGGAGCAAAAACAAAGAGCACAAGAAGGAUGCUGAAGUUUGCAAGAACUGAAACAAACAGCAGUCCGUCCAAAACUGGCAGAACCAGUCGUUUCAGUUAGGGAAAUGAAGGUUUUCAUCAAAGAGUGAGCAACUAGAAGGCCUCGGGACAAGAUGGAGCUCAAGGCUACUGGAUCAAAAUAUCUAGUGAAUGUCAUACACGAAUAGCUGCGCAACUCAACACCUUGUUAAAUGCCGACCAAGUAACACCAGAGUGGUUGACAUUGUGUAGGACAUUACUAUGCUUGAAAAACAUCGGAAAAGACAAUACAGUAGACAAUUACAGUCCGAUAUCCUGCUUGCCACUUACGUGCAGAUUAUUGACUGGAAUAGUCGCAGAGUCAAAGUACGAACAUCUGAACAAAAAUAUAGUCCUGCCAUACGAGCAGAAGCGUUGCAAUCGUAAGUGCAGAGGUACCAAGGAUCAACAACUAGUAGAUAAAAUUUUACUUAAAGACUGCAAGAGGAAGAAAAGUAACUUAGCCAUGCCAUGGAUCGACUAUCGUAAGACGUACGAUAUAAUCCCACAUUCUUGCUAUUGCAUCGAGUGAUGAGCGAUUGCUUAGAAGUAUGGACCUGACGACAUACGGAAGAAGUUAAGCGGUAGUAGAAAUCAAGAGGGGCAUGUCCCCACUGCCUGUCACCACUUAUCUUUGUACUGACCACUAACACAGAUUCUGAGGAAAGGAAAAGCUGGGUAUGUAUUCAAAAGCUACCAAUAAAAAGUCAACCAUUUGUUAUUCAUUGAUGCCUUCAAUCUUUAUGAUAAAGUUCCCUCCUUGAUACGGUGUAUACUUUCAGUGCUGAUAUCAGAAUGGAGUUCGGACUGAGAAAGUGUUGUGUGUUAGUCUUGAAGAGAGGCAUAAUCAAAUGUAUGAACGGGCUAACGAUACCGUCGGAGAGGGAAGGUUAUGAAGCAGAUAGAAGGCACGAGCUGUAAGUACGUGGUGAUUUUGGAAAUGGAUGAAUUCACGGAGAAAGAAAUGACAGAAAAAUUUAAGGUGGAGUGCUUGCGCAGACUGAGAUUGAUCCUUAAGUUGAAGUUGAGAGACGAAAUGAGAUUGAAGUUAUCAACACCUGGGCGGUUUCACUCUUUACAUAUGCAGCAGGGGUAAUCGCAUGGACAGUAGACGAAUGAAGCAGCUUAGAAAGAAAGACAAAGAAGUUGCUAUUUAGAUAUGAGUCACUCCACUCAAAAUGUGACAAAGAGAGGGAAGUGGAUUUAUUGUAUGAGAACACAGCAUUAGAGCAGAAGAAAACAACAGAGUAUGUAUGUAAACUGUUCCACAGACCGCUAUUAUUAGAAGUAAGAAGGUCAGGUAUGUGUUGGAUGAAAGAUUGCAAAGAUAAAGCACUGUACAAGCAAUUGAAAACGAAUUAAACUGAAAAUAGGUGCCUAAAGAAAAGAAUGCAUGGACAAUUCCAUAGGGAUAUUGAAGAUAAGACAGACAGAGAAAAAGAUGGCUGUGGAUUAUUAAAAUUGAUUUUAAACCGGAAUGGUGGGUGUAAUUUGUGCUGCCCAAGAGCAAGCACCAAGGAAAAACUACAUAAAAUACAGAAUAGACAGCACAUCAGAAAGUGUUCAGUGCAGAAUUUGUGGAAAAAAAUGGUGAAACCAGAAGGAAUAUAAGAGACGUUACGACAAUAUAGCCAGGCCUGUCUAUUGGACACUGUGCAACAAGUAUGGAUUUCACACAGAAAAACAAUUGAUAGAGCCACAAACCCAAAGUCACCAUCGAAAAUAUUAAUGCAAAGAUCCUGUGGGAUUUUAUUAGAUACAGAAUAGGAAGCUAGACAUAGUCUUAAUUCAGAAAGAAUAUACUAGAUCAUAGAUAUAGCAUGCCCAGCUGAUAAUAAUGCAUGCGAUAAGGAAGAUAGAAAAUUUGAUAGAUAUGACAGGUCAGCUUGGGAGGUUAAGCAGUUGUGGUCGAUAAAAAAGGUGGUAGUAGUACCAAUAAUUGUCGGAGUCCUGGGAACAGUGAGUAAACAGCUUGAGAAGCACUUGGAACAAUUAGGGGCUACAAUAGGGAUGGAGCACUUGCAGAAAACGGCACUGUUUGGAACCGCUCGAAUACUCCGGAAGGCGCUCGAAAAGUUAGAGGCGAAGAGCUGACACCGUUAGAAACUGUGCAAAGGCAAUAAUAAUAAUAAUGAUAAUAAUAAUAAUAAUAAUAAUAAUAAUAAUAAUAAUAAUAAUAAUAAUAAUAAUAAUAAUAAUAAUAAUAAUAAUAAUAAUACAAAUAAUAAUGAUAAUAAUACAAAUAAUAAUAAUAAUAAUAAUAAUAAUAAUAAUAAUAAUAAUAAUAAUAAUAAUAAUAAUAAUAAUAAUAAUACAAAUAAUAAUAAUAAUAAACAUUCGACAAAUAGCCAAGGGAGUGAAACCAUAGACUGGGCAGGUUCUUUUGAUGAUGGCAGCAACCGGUAUGACAGUGAUAAUAAUUAUUGAAAGGGUUUUGGUGAAACCUUAAUGUUAUUGAUAAUCGUUAUUGUGGUGUUACUACUGACCUGAUUCUAAAACUAAUGAAAAUAGAAUUCUAAUAUAAAAUUCUAGGCCCCACUUCUUGCAACAAAGAUAAUAUGUCUGAUUGCGCAAUAAAGAAAAUAAGUCACCAAACUUGCGAUAGGUGUGAUUAUAGAUGAAAUUUUAUUGAUAAUAUCACACUGUUUCACUCAAAAUUAUUGGUAAAAUACCAGAUUAUUACACAGCAUCUAAACGAAUCACUUCUCCGCUGUUACAAUAAUAUAUUACAAUAAUAUUACAAUAAUAUAUUUUACCAAAGUCGCUUACCAACAAUAUUUCGUAGAGGUCAUUGAAGUAAUUCUAAUGAUGUUAUACUCAAUUCAUAAAACUGCAUAAAUCUCUAUAUACAUGUAUACAUAUUUAAGCACGAAUAUAUUUAUGAAGAUACGUGCGUUUGUAUAUAUGUUUGCGUAUGUGUGUAUGUUAUUGGCUAUCAAGAUACACAGAUGAAAACAGCGUUAUUUUCAAAUGCUUAAUUUAAAUCAGCGACCAUAUUCAACAAAGCCAUCUGUAUAAUUGUGUUUUAGAGAUAAGCUGAAGUUCCCUGCUCUGCUUCCUAGAAUGCUUCGGGAUUCAUAAAUCCAGCAAUGUAAAUCUCGCAGCAUAUUAAUGACGCGUGAUUUCAACUUUCGCUCUUUGUACUACUUUCUGCAUAACCUGAAAGCCGCAAUUUGCAUCUGAACAUCGGACAAUACAGCAGUAGAAACAUUUUUCAAAUUUUGAAUAAUUUUUGGUUUGAGCAUCUUAUUUAUUUUUAUAGUUUCCAUAAAAUGUACGCUAGUAACACUGCGAUCAGUUUAAUCAGGUGAAUUCUUUCUUAAUCUGAUCGAUGCCCUUAUUCCACUUUGUACUCAUUUCAUUGUGAUUUAUUGUAUUCUACGUUUCCUCUUUGUUGUUGAAGGAGAUGACGUGUAGCAACAAUAAACAUAUAUAUUGUAGUAAAUAUACAACAUUUAUUAAAGGUCCUCUACAUUCAGAGUUCAAAACCUACCAGAGUUAACUUAAUUAUUCAUAUCACUAAGAUUCAUGAAAAGUUUAUUGGCAUAACACAGUAUCGAUACUAAGAUGAGAGUCGAUUCAAUCGACAAUAUCCAUCCACGCUAAUAAAUGAACGACUCAGUACUAGUAUAGAUGUCUAUAACAAACAAAUAUAUUUCCCUCAAUUCCUAUAUUGUACAAAUUGUUUUAUUGUUAGAGUUAACGGAUGUGAAUGUUAAAUUAGUUGCAAAUUCAUUAUUGGAAUUAAAAUGAUUCACUUUAUAUAAAUGAAUCUUGAUUUCUUACCUUUGUAGUUUUAUUCUAAUUUAUACGUUCUAGUUUAUAUGAAUAAAACCUAUUAUUUCAAUUCCCGAGAAAUUUUAAUUUCUUUGUCAUUGAAUAGUAUGAGGAAAUGAAUAGCUCAGAUCUUUGAACAACUAACAACAACACAAGAACCAAUGUAUCUGAUAUAUUGUUCCUGCUAGGGUAUAUUGUGUCUAUUUCUAACGACUCCGCAUUCAGUUAAGUAUAUAUUAAGGAAUACAGUAUAAUUCUUUCAUAGAAAUUUAAGGUUUUGGUUUAAAUUGUAAACUAUUGCAGAUGUGAACUGGCUCUCCAUCGGUUUCGAUGACAAGUGUUCCAGAAGACUCGAUCAACUCCAUAGCUGAACACUCCAUAGACACGCAUACCACUAAUGUAGUUCUCAGAGACAUUCACAGUGACACACUAUCUAUCACGAGACUGGCCCAUUGAACCAAAAGUGCAACUCGUUCUUCCUAGCUGAGUGGACUGGAGCAACACGAAAUAAAUGUUCCAACUUAAGGGUACAAUGCGUCGUCAAGAAUCAAAAUAAUGACCUUAUGAUCGUAAUCUGAAUACCAUUGCCAAUAAGACACGUUCUUUUCAUUCAUAAUAUCGUAUCAUUACAAGAAAUAAAACAAUAUUAUGAAUAAGAGGUGCAGUAGAGUUUGACCAGAGAAAAAUAUGAUGAUCCUGUUUAGUGAAAGAGUUCAAAUAGUAAACGAAAUUAUAUCUUUCCAAGAGUAGAUCUUUAUGACAAAUAUAAGAUUUGUAGCUGUAAAUGGUAUAAAACACAAAUGUAACAUAUCGUAGUGCCCUAAAAAUAACCAGCUUUGCUGUUUGUCUUUAUUCAUUAUGUGGGAAAUUCUACAUAGGAAGACUUCUAAUCCUGGAUUGGGAUCUUUGCCGAAACUUUUUUAAUUAUAACCACAAUCCUAAAAAAAAAAACUUGCAAUGAGUUUUCCUUUUGAUUAGUUAACGAUGCGCAGUACCUAAACAAAAAUAAACUUCCUUUACUUCAUGAAUUAAGAGUGCCAACGAAAACACUUAAUGCACCCCAAUACGUUAUUAGAUUAACAUAUUGACGUUUAAUAGAUUAUCAAUAUACUGUAGAAUUUCAUUUUUUUUGUUCGAUGACAUUUUUUUAAUCGAUAUUCUUUUCCGAGUCAAGAGUUGAUAUCUCGACGUUUUACGAUUAUAUAUUUAUCCCAAAGGGAAAUAUCUCUAUUGAUAAAUGAUUAGGCCCGUAAUACAGAACUCCUUCUCAAACUAUACCUACAUAUGGGAAUAUUAACAGAAGUGGAAGUUUGCAGAACACUCGUUAGUUGCCUGCAUUAGAGUCGGUUACCAUUCUAUCAUCGUUAAAUUCUCUAAUUCUCUAAUGUCGUUGUCUGCUGUACCUUCGUAAACAAUGCUAGUCGUUAGAUCUACUCUAUGAAAUCUUAGUACUAGCAAAUUCAUUUUUAUAUUAUGAAAGAAAAUACUCUGUGUUUCUCUUAAACAUUUCGAAAUAUAAUUCAUUAAGGCUUGCAAAAUGCAUACGUAAUUAUACUUGUUAUUCGUCUUAGUCCGAAAUCCAAGCUGAAUGGAUAAAGCCUAGGUGAUACUUAUUCCAAAGAACAGUUUGUAGAAAGUUAAGUGUAGUCAAAGUGAAAAGCUCCAAAAAUACCCAUAAUACUUUCGUCUAUCUCUUCUCUCAGUUGCAAGGCAACGAGAAAAUUAUUUAGACUUUUCUCUCUUCGCAGGAGUAUACAACCAAUCAUUUACAUAUAUACUCAUAUAUCCGAAUACAGUCUUUAUGGCAGAGGUUAAUACAGCAUCAUUGCUGUAAUGGUAACUGUUGUUGUUGUUGUUGUUGUUUGCCUUGCUCGACAUGCGCCAAAAUUUGGAACCAUGAUGAAGGAAGUGAACUGACAGAAUCGUUAGCAUACUGUGCAAAAUACCUAGCAGGAUUUCGUCCACCUUUAAGAGUUCGACUGUCGCUGGCGUCGACUUUACCGUUCAUUUUCGGAUUCAAUAAAAUAAGUACCAGUUGAGUAUUGAGGUCAUUCUGAUCCACUUAGCCCCUCCUAUGAAACAGCUAGCCUUGUGCCAAAUUUAAAAACCAUUAUUAUUAUUAUUAUUAUUAUUGUUGUCGUUGUUGUUAUUAUUAUUAUUAUUAUUUUCCAAUUGAUUUACAUUUUAUUUCAUCUUCCGACCGGGUCUUAAACAGAGACCUAAGGCACCUAUGUAUUAGAAACUUCAUGAGAAUGUGGGCUGUUGAUGUCAACAAAAUUAUUUGAGUCUCAUAGAUUGUUAGUUUCCCAAGAAUCUGCUCAAAACAUUUUCCAGUACCUUUCUUGAUCAUUCCCAGGGCGCCUACAACAAUAGAGAUGAUUUUGGCUUUUAAUUGCCAUGUCCUAGAUAUCUCAAAUGCUUCUCAUAUUUCGAGAAUUUUUCAAAUACAUUUACUGAGAUAUUUCUCUCAGUAGGCACUGUCAUAUCAAUUAACAUGCAUGUUUUAUGCUUUAGAUUUAUGAUGGCGAUGUCUUGUCUGUUAACAUUUAUUUGCUUGUCCUUAUGCAUCCCAUAAUCCCAUAUGAUAGUAAUAUUCGUUCUCUCGUUUACUGUCUUUGGAUGGUGUUCAUAGUAGUUCUUAGAGUGCGUGAUAUCAUAGUAACGGUACACACUCCACUGCAAGUAUUGGCCAACUUUAUCAUGCCUGGUUUUACAUUCUGUUGGUGCAAGGACUGAAGAACUGGUAACAAUGUUGUCAAUACCCUCCAGUUUGUCGCUGCAAUGUGUACACUUUGUGUCUACCCCAUUUUGCAUGGCAUUAGCUUGAUAGUUCCGAAUGAGAAGACUCUUCUGUUUUGGUUUUCAAACCAACACUCAGUCGCUACAUCAGCUUCGCCAUGCAAAGGGGUUUUUUUUUGCCACAGUCUCGAUACUAUCUUCAAGAUUUCCUGUUUGGCUUUUGUUUUACGCUUCUUACCGCCUUAGUGGCUGACGGGUCCUCCUUAUCCUCAUCAUAAUCAGGGAGGUUAAGCUCUCGUGUGUAUUUAUAUACCUUCUUUGAGAUUGAAUGAAAUUUUUUACUAUGUUCAUGUUGCAUUACCAGCUGUAUCAUCCAAUCGGUGUUACUUUUGACGUACACUAAAGUCCUUUUGUGGUCGUUCUAUAGGACGUUCCAAGUAUGAUUAGGCCUGUACAACCUUCCUUUCCCGGAAGCUAGAGUCUGUGGACGUUUGGGUUUUGGUGGUGCAUCCUGUUUAGUGUCAGCAGUUUCCUGGUCUCUAUAUUGAUCCGCUGGAGUUCAUUCAGAUUCUAAUUGAUGACAUUAAGGCUAUCAUAGACAAUUGGUACAACCAUGGAUUUCAUAGCUACACGUCUACUCUGGGAGUUCAGCCCAGUAUUCAGGGCCAUUCUGACACGUCUUUGGAAAAAUAUUCAAUAUAGUUCAGUGAAAGUUUCCCAAGAUACUUUUGAUCCAGACCCGUGAUACAUAUAUCAUCAUCAAGUUAGGUUGUUGCAUUUGCUGCCAGUUUAUCACGUUUGAACAACGCUUUUGCACAUUUAUCAAGUCCGAAUUCCAUAUUUAUAUCAUCGCUGAAUUGUUUCAGUUAUUAGUAUCCUUUUCAGACCCUUGUCAACUUCUGCAUAUAAUUUCAGAUCAUUCGUGUAGAGCAAGUGUGAGACGAUCUUGUCAAACAUUUUGUAAGCAUGAUUUGUUAUAUUAAGCUCAUAUGACAAGGGAAUGAGAGAAAGACAGAACAGGAGAGGGGAAAUUAAAUCACCCUGGACUAUUCUACGGUCUAUUUUGAUGUUCUCUGAUAAAUACGAGAAUUUCUCGUGAUUGAGAAACAAUUUUGAGUUCACCUGUCCUUUUCCUUUUACCAGAGAGAACGAUCUUGUAUAUAAUUAAUGCAUUUAAGAUCUGGCUAUGAAGAAAAAUUUCAAAUGCUUUACGAUAGUCAAUCCAUGCUGUACUGAGAUUACGGUUUUCGAUGAGCAAUUUUCGUGUAUCAUACGGUAUUUUUAAUUUUAAGGCUGCGAGCUGGCAGAAACGUUAUCACGCCCGGCGAAAUGCUUUGCGGUAUUUCGUCUGUCGCAACGUUCUGAGUUCAAAUUCCGCCGAGGUCGACUUUGCCUUUCAUCCUUUCGGGGUCGAUUAAAUAAGUACCAGUUACGCACUGGGGUCGAUAUAAUCGUCUUAAUCCGUUUGUUUGCCCUUGUUUGUCCUCUCUGUGUUUAGCCCCUUGUGGGCAGUAAAGAAAUAGGUAUUUUUUAAUUGCUGACCUUUGCAGCUGCAUGAGUUCCUUUUGCACCCUUUUUGUUCAAGAGCAAGAAUAUUGUCUUCAUCGAGAAAUUGGUACAUCCUUUCAGUGAGGAUGGACAUGUGUGUUUUGUACAUGGUGGUCAAACAUGUGAUCGCCUUGCAGAUUUGUGAUUUCUUGUGUCGCUCAGGUUAUCCCUAACUAUAGCCAGCUUGGAGUCUUUUCGGGGUUUCUAAUGAUAUUAGAAAAGCAUUCCAUUAAUUUACUGUGCGAAUAUGAGAGGAUAUUAAGCCAGAAGUUUGGGAUUUUAUCAUGUCCAGGAGGUUCCACUUAUGAGUUUUAGAUAGCGAAUCAGUUAGUUUCUGCAUUGCUAUAUCGUUCCAUUUUUGUUCUUCAAUAUCAGUCUUUCUUUCUUUUUCUCUCCCUACCCAUUCAGCUUCCUUGUAGGAUUCUUUUUUUAUCGCUCCAUUAGAUUCUCCAAAAUAUCACUAUUAUUAUAGUGCUAAAUCUGAUGAAUAGGGAAGGUGUGUCUGGUUCUGGGGGUUGAAUACACAAUACUUCAGAUGUUGAAAAAAUGGUGAGCAUGCUCUUGAUUGAGCUGCGUCUCUGUAGCGCCUUCUUAGGUCGUGGAGGUGAAUGGAUUUUCCAUUGUGACGACUGCUGCUCCAUCUCUGGACCGUACCCGUAGACCCAACACCGAUAUGAAGGAUGGGUCAUCGGCGGCGUGCUGACGGAGAUCUUCACAGACUUCUGCGUGGUGUUCUUUCUGCUCAGUGGUCAACAGGAUGGGACAAACUUGGCAGAACAUGCCCCGUGUUCAAUUCAGAUAUUAGGAUUGCCUACACGGAGCCAUAUGAGAGACGAACAUCAUCAGCAAUGUCUUUGAUUAACUUACAUAUUUAAUUUGUGUACAGUAAUCUGUGACAAUGAGAGCAUCGUUUCCUUCCCAUCAACCGCCAUGUGUGCAUAUCACAGAUAAUAGCAUCCACUGAAUCCCAAAGCAUCAUGUUAUAUCCAACUUUUGAUAAUUUGAACUCCUCUUUCAGGCACUUGGUGGUAGCCCUGUGCAUCCUAAUAAUUGUUAUAUAUUACGGCAAGCUAUGCUUCUCGCAGAAACGUGCUAAUGCAUUUUCUAUUCUCUUUCUUCUAGUCAGAGUUAUUGAAGAGAACAAUUCACAAAUGUACAAGUACGCAACACAUGGCGGGCACACACUCGCACACUGCAAACAAUGGCAAGAACGCAGUAAUAACCAUACAAACACUCAUUAACUUAAAUUUUGAAAGAGAAAAGAAAAAUCAAGGAAGAAAUCAUUGAGAAGAAGAGUGUGUGGUGAAAGAUUUUGCCAAAUUAAUUAUUUAUUACUUAUUUAAUUCAUAAUAUUUCCAACUUAGGCAAAAGGCCAGUGGUUUUGAAAAACGGGGAUCGCUGGUUCUACCAUCCUCAAUACUUGACUAGCUCAUUAUUUUAUUCAGUCUGAAAGGAUAAACGACAAAGUUAACUUCUGCGGUAUUUGAACCCAGAACGUAAAGAGCCAGAACAAGAAACGCAAGGUAUAUAUUUUUAUGCUUUGCGACUCUGUCUAUCCAACUGUCUUGAUAUUAGUAAAUAAUAUUAACAUGGUGAACCACCACAAAAACUCGUUUGAAUUUGUUGGCAGUAAUAAGCCUUCGUGUAAGAAUAGAAAACAUCUCUACCCACAUCUCUUUCUCUCUCUCUCUCUCUCUCUCUCUCUUUCUCUUUCUCUCCCGCACCUUCUCUCUUGUCUCCCUUCUCUCCUGCCUGUUUCGCACCUUGGGCAAGUGUCUUCUAUUAUAACCUCGGGCCGACCAAAGCCUUCUGAGUGUAUUUGGUAGAAGGAAACUGAAAGAAGCCCGUCGUAUAUAUAUAUAUAUAUCUGUGUGUUUGUGUGUCUAUGUUUGUCCCCCCAACAUCGCUUGACAACCGAUGUUGGUGUGUUUAUGUCCCCGUAACUUAGCGGUUCGGCAAAAGAGACCGAGAGAAUAAGUACUAGGUUUACGAAGAAUAAGUCCUGGGCGUCGAUUUCCUCGACUAAAGGCGGUGUUCUAGUAUGGCCGCAGUCAAAUGACUGAAACAAGUAAAAGUAUAUAUAUAUAUAUAUAUAUAUAUAUAUAUAUAUAUAUACCGGAGUAAACACAUAAAUGUGAAACAAGGUGGAAAAAAGAGUACUCAAAUACCAGUGGUAGAGUAAUAUGCUUUAUUUUAAGCAGCAGAAAAUUCAACAAAAUCUGUUACUCUGAGUUUCUCGUUGCCGUUCAUCAGACAGUUUUUGCUAGAAUGGAACAUAUAUAUUAAUUCAAUCUAUACUCUUACAAACGCUACACCUUUAAAAAGAAAUGGACUUGUUUGAUUGGCCCUUUAGAAAAAACGGUCAAUCUUCGAGCGAUAAACAAAAAGGUCAAAAAUAUAUGUAUAUAUAUAUAAAAAACUUAUAAAAAUUAUAAAAUCCGAGGAAAAAACCGAGGAAAAAACCUAUUGCCGUUAAUGAAGACAGUACAAAUUAAUGCAUAGAAAUUAAACCUGUUAUAAAUACUGCAAUACAUAUUUAUAUUAAAAUCCACAUAUAUAUAUCAACAUACACAAAAGGAUGCGCGUAAACGCCAUACAUACAUAUACAGACGUAUGAAUAUGAAUCUAAAUUAUACACAUAAAAGCAUGUGUACAUAUAUUCACGCAAACCGUCUCGCACGCAAGCUAAAAUUCAUCUAUGUAGCAAUUCUCAUAUACUGAGCAAGGAGGGGGAACGAAAGAAAGGGAAAGAGAGAAAAAGAAAUGAAGGAGGGGUGGGGAAAACUUGUAGCGAUAUUAUUGGCAUCUAUAGAGGCCAGUAUACAUACACAAGUUUGAAUUGAUACAUAUACAUACCGUCGUGUGUAUAUAUAUAUAUAUAUAUACACGUAUAAAAUGACAGAUAGAAAGACAGAAAGAGAGAGAGUGAAAGAGUUAUGUUGCGUUUAUAUUCUAUACUUCCUCUCUGAAAACUUCGACCACUCUUCCUAUUUCAGCCACCAUCACUCAGCACGAAUUAACAUAUCAUCCAAUUACGACGUGCCUGGGGAACUUUCAUCAGACUAACCCGACCUCCACCACUUCUAUGGUAGCUGAGUGAAGGAUACUCAUAAGAAUAUUCGGCAACAUUAUUAGCAAAGAUAAUUAUGGUUGUAAUUCAUACACGCUUUGAUCGAAAUAGGAAAUUUGUGAAUGUUUCUAUAAUUCUUUGUAAUCCUGAUGUCACACAAAAAUGAACUUUCAGUCCACUGUCCCUUAUAAAUGUCUGUGUAUUGGAGUGUGUGUGUGUGUGUGUGUGUGUGUGUGUGUGUGUGUGUGUGUAUGUUUGCUUGUGUGUUACUGUGUGUGUGUGUUUUAGUGUACCUAGUGCGUAUGUGUGUGGGUGUGUGUGUGCGUGUGUGUGUGUGUAUGUUUGCUUGUGUGUUACUGUGUGUGUGUGUUUUAGUGUACCUAGUGCGUAUGUGUGUGUAAGUGUAGAUAUGUGCGCGCGUAUGUGUGUGUGCAUGUCUGUAUUUUUGUAUGUGGGUAUGUAUAUAUGUGUGUAUCUAUAAGUGUUUAUGUGUGUGAAAGAGAAAGAGAUAGAGAGUGAGAGAGAGAGAUAGUGUGUGUAUGCGCGCGCUCAAUGUACACAGCGCCAUAAAUAAUAUGUAUCCGGUAGUUUAGACUGCGAUUCGGUGGAUAAUCGUUCGUAAGAGAUUAUUCAAGUAAAUUUUAUGAUCAGAUUAGUAAGCUAUUUGAAAAGGUUUUAGAUUGUCAUGAAACAAUCUGAAUACAGCAGAAGCGUAAUAAAACAAAGCAUACUCUUCCCUCUUGCAAUAAUUGUGUAUGGUGUAAGUAGAAUAUAUUAGAAGCGAACCGAGAUCUGAAUCCGUUGGUGAUACCUUGUUGUCUAAUAAAAAUCUGUAGUUACCCAAGACAAAAUCUAAAAUAUUUUCGGCGGGUUCAGACAAAAUAUUUGCCUAUAUAUAUAUAUAUAUAUAUAACUGUGUGUGUGUGUGUAUGUGUGUGUGUGUUUGUGUGUGUGUGUACAUAUAUGUAUAGGUAUAUAUAUAUAUAUAUAUAUAUAUAUAUAUAUAUAUAUAUGUACAUACAUAUUCAUUAAAUUCGUGGACAUCGAGUAGACCUUAUUCAUGAUUUCAUUUACUAAGGGAAUAUGAAAUUACCGCUGGAUGCAGCGGAUGUAUAAUUGCAGGCUGUUCAUGAAUUUUGACCAAUGAAACGUUUGAUUGGGGUACGUGAGCAGUUAUGUGUGUAUUUAGUGGGGAUGAGCAGGAGGUAAUGGACAGAGAGAAAGGAGUGGUAAAUACACAGGAGAGGGUGGUGUGUGUGUGGUGAUGUUGAAAUAAGUUUGAUAUCUGAGUAUGCAGUUGUCAGGCUGGGUAGUAUAUUUCAUCGGUUUGACUACAAUUUGACCUUAGUUACAGCAUGUAUACUUACGGGUCAGUCUCUAUAUAUAUAUCUAUUUGUUCAUCUAUAUACCUGUCUAUCUAUCUAUAUACAUACAUACAUAUAUACAUAUAUAUAUACAUAUAUAUAUAGCAAUAUAUAUAUAUAUAUAUAUAUAUAUAUAUAUAUAUAUAUAUAUAUAUAUAUAUAUAUAUAUCAAUUGGACGGAGUUAAAAUGUGGUCGGGUUCUCUCGAUUUUUAUGAUUGUAUUAAAUUUUUUUACAAUGUUGAAGUGUUUUAAACAUAAAUAAAAUAUUUUUGUUAUGUUCAUAAAGUUCAAUUAGCGCUUUUAUGCAUUCAUAGUAAUCACCAGAUUUCAAAAUGUAUUUAAUUCACAGUUGAGUUCUUGAGAGCUGUAGUAAAAUGACUGACUUCUUCCUCUUUAUACAUCUCCCGUUGACUUUUUCGAAUACGGGUUUGACCAAUCCGCAUGAAUCUUAAACGUUACAGUUUGACGGGUUACUGAUAUUACUGGCAUAGAUCCCGCCUUUAUUUUCACCAUUUAGUUUCAGAUUUACAUGUAAUGGUUUUAUGAGUGAACAUAGUUGGUUUCGAUCGCUUUUAUUGCAAUUAAUGGGAAACUUCUGUAGUUUGAUUAUAUUAUUUCAAAGAUAUGUUUAAUCCUUAUCGUUAGCUGGUUGUUAUAGUAUUGGUUUUAUUGCCGUUCAGAACAGGUUUGAACAUUUUCAUGAAAUAUUUUUCUUUUAACUUUUCAUGUAAUUUGUGGGAAAGGAAAAAAAUGGGAGCAACAUUUUCUAACCACUUAUUUCUACAUCUUGACUCAAUUGUUUUCGGGCUUUGUUGUCUGUGGACUCCUGAGCAUUCCGAGAGCGGCGUCCCAUGUACAUGGAAGGACGAAAACAGCAAGAGAUGCAGUAGAUAACAUUGUUGGCGGUGCAGCUAAAAGUGUCGGUGAUGUGAUAUGGGGCAGUGAUGGGUGCCGGUGAGGAUAGUGGCGCUGGAGAGGUAGAGGCAUGUGCGGUAUCAUGGGCGAGAGAAGGCGAAGAGGCCAUGCUGGGUGCUAAUAGUACACAUGCUAAUAUACAGACAUUGCAGUCCAGAAGGUCACGUAGGUUAUGGGGGCAUUUGAAGGAGGCGUUAUGGAAGAAGUGGGAGGUGGAGGAGUCGGAAGGCGCGGAGAAUGGUUCGUUGGCGGGGUAAGGUGGAGGUUGUGAUAGAUGAGGGAAAAUGGGAGAUGGUUUUGUUUUACUUAAUUUUAUGAAGGGGUUGUUGGAUAUGUGUUCAUGUUUGAAGUUGGUUUCAUAAUCCAAGAACCAGUUGGCGCUCUUUUCCCAUCGUUGGAAGGACUUUAGUUCCUCUUUUUCACAUUCUUCUUUCCAUAAUGUAAGUAAUGUUUCAGUAUUGAUACCGUCUGUUAGUUUGUUGACUUCUUCGUUGAUUUCUUCAUCUAUGGCUUUUACGUUUUCUUCAUUCGUCUUAGUUCUCAGUUUAAGUAGUUCAAUUUCCAUCUUCCUUUUUUUUAAUGACAUUUUUUCUCUAAGUCUUCUUUGUUCUCUGCUUCUUCCAGGAUGGGUUUUAUUUGUAAUUUGCGGGGUAUGAUUAGGUUGAUUUACUUUUGGUAAAUCUCUGCUUUAUUCUUAUUUUGUAUCAUUUUCCAAAAUGCGAAUUUUCUGUUUCGCUGUAGUUUUCUCCAUUGGGGAAGGACUUGGUUCUUUAUUUGUAAUGUUGAAGUCAUUAGGUUCUUCCCAUUAGGUUCUUCCCAUGUGGUCCUUCUUUUUGUUGCUCUUGUCUUGUAAAGUUUGUAAAGAAUGUCUUCAUUGUGUCGCAUAGAUUUCCAAAGUUCUCGUAUACACACACACACACACACACACACACACACGCACAUAUAUAUAUAUACAUAUAUAUGUGACAUAUGUGUCUGCAAAUGAGUUUGUCCUUAAAACAAUUAAUAGAACAUUUUCCUCAGCAAAUUUGGGUUUUUAUCAAUUGUUACAUUUAAACAGUUAAAGAAAAAAAUACUAUAUACAGCCUACUUCUGGGCCAGAUGUUCUACAAGUAGUGGAUUGCAUUUCAAGGAACCAAAUACAUAGAAUGAUUGAUACAAAGGUUGUGCACCAGGUAAAUUAUUUUAAAAAAACUUUAAUUUGGCGACAGCAUGAUUAAAAUGCAGGAAUAUGAAGUGAAAAAAGUCUACUCUAACAAAAUAUUUCACAUAACUGUCCAUCAAAAUAAAUAUUAUUAUAAUAAAGUGGUUUAUCUUCACAUAUAUUGUAGUUCUGUAUUUGGGUUAUAGAAAUUCAAUUUUGAUUUUGGAUAUAAUAUUUGUUAUAUUUGGUUUUUAAUUUUCCAUUUUUUAUUGUUUUAUUACAUUAUUGGAUAUGAAUGCAUUUGCUUAGAUUAUAGCUUACAGCAAUUUUACCGUUAUUUGAAAUUAAUUUGAGGUAUUCUCUUCUGGUAUAUAUAUAUAUACAUGUGUGUGUAUACAUACAUAUAUGUAUGUAUGUAUUCACGUGUGUUUGUACGUAUUUAUAUAUGUAUUCCUGUAUGUAUCCUCUUCAGUACAUCAUAUUCUUCCAGUAAUAUGAUUUUGCAUUUAUACUUGUGUACUUUCAUUGCCGAUAAAUUCAAUAAAACUGCAAUCAACCCCGUUCUUUUACUCACACACACUCUCUCCCUCUCCACCUUUCUUUCUUCCCCCUUUUCCUUUACACACACACACAUAUAUACAUAUAUAUAUAUAUAUAUAUAUAUAUGUAUAUAUAUAUACAUAUUCUUUUUCAGUAAUUAUGAAUGGCUAGAUUAUAUAGUAUAGUCUCUCACACAUAGAUAUUUGCACAUAUGUGCUGACUGUCAGUGUAUACAGACUUUCACACUGUUUCUGGUUCCUGCCCGUUAGCUUCUGUCUCCACUGACGCACUGCAAUCAAUAGAAUCGAAUCUUUAUCUCAAUCUGAAAAAUAAAAAAUUGUAUGAACAAAACAUAUUCCUGUCUUCUUGAAUCUGUUUUCACUAAUGGACUGAUUGCUUCUGCCGAAUUAUCACUGAAAAUUUCGUUUUCUCCAUACGUUUCCAGAAUAGAAAUAUAAUAUCCUUGUGAAAGACAUUUGAUGUGUAGGCUGUGUCAUAUUUGUAAAAAGAAAAUAUUUAGAAAAUUAGAGUUAAUUUGUGUAGGUCUACAAAACGUUUCUUUCACGCACGAAUAUAUACACCAACAAAAAUAAUUUCUUCAUCUCAAGAAUUAAGACAACCUGUGUCAAAUAUUUAAAUUGCUAAGCUUAAACUCUAGUAUUUCUUAUCAACAAAAUUUGGUAGAUGGAAGCAGAAUAAAAUCCAGUUGGGUGGAAUUAUCUCGGAUGUGUGGAUCAAUUCCGCUUUCCUUUGAAACAUGUGUAAUUUUAACAGAGUCCACUCUAUUUUAAAACACGUGGUAAGGUUUCUGGCCGGAAGAUACCUGCCUCUUUACAUUCAUAGACUUCCUGUGUCCAGGAAGAGGAUCAUACUUGAUGCCUCACCUACUCUUAUUAAAGCACCAUAAAGGAAAUAUGUGUUCCUAAGAAAGUAUCUGUGUAUGCACGAUUGACUGCGACCAUGCUUCAGAACCAUUUUCUAGUGGUUAAGGGAAUUGAACGCCAAUACCUAUUUCUGAAGCCUAAUACUUUUACUAUCAGUUCCCUGUCGAACUGCUAAAUUACGGAGAUGAAAACAAGCCAAUAUCAGUUGUGAAGCAGUGGUGAGGUAUACAACACAAAUAUAAAGGACACAAAUACAAAUAUAUAUACGAAUAUAUGCAUAUAUAUAUAUAUAUAUAUAUAUAUAUAUAUAUAUAUAUAUAUAUAUAUACAGUCAUCCAUACAUAUACGACGAGCCUCUUGUUUCGCCGUGGCGCUAAAAUGCAAAACACUUGACCAAGGCGCCGCACACUAUGACAGAAUCCAUGACGAAAUGUUUGAGAAUCAAUAUUCUUAACCACAUUAGCACGCAGGUUCAUACGCACAGACAUACACAAAUACACGCUCAUGCAUACACAAUCUUUCUUCCUGUCUCACUCUCUCUCUCGCUCUCACUCACACAUGCAUGCAUAGAUAUAAUUUAAUUUCUUGUUGCUAGAAACUCUUGCCAUGUUGUGCUCUACCGUUGAUGUAAUUUCUUUUCUAUCAUUUCCACGACCUACUUUCGGUGCUUUGUUUUGAUGAAUGAAACCCCGUUCUCGUUUGUGGGCUUUUUAUUCUGUGGUGUGCUUUCAUCUGGUAACAUAGAUAAAAGAUUGCCCAGUGUUUGCUUUUUUAAUGCAUCAACUUACAUAUCACGUGUUUUUCAUUGGUUUUUGGCAUGGCAUUGAAAAUGAAUGUGCAAGCUUCUGAGACCUAAGCUGUUACAGGUGCUCCAAAAGAAAGCGGGAUAUUUGGUAUUACGUGAUAUAGGCCUCCCAAAUUAUUCCAGCUGAUUAAAACUAUAUUUUUUCUAACACAAUCUCAAGCACAUGCAGCAUUAAAUAUCACAACCAAAAAUUUAGCCACCAAACUUAAAAUAAAGGCUAGAAUAUAGGAUAUCAACAUUAACGCCAAAAUAUCCAUAUAUAGUCAUGAAAGAGCAUAACCUCAACGUGAAUAGCAAACCAUCCGACAGAAUUGUAAACACUUUGUAACAGAACAUGGAAAUUAUUAGUAAAAAAAAUAUCAUUAGAUAAAUUCUCACCAACGAUAGAACUAAACUUUAUAUUACCUGUCUAGUUUAGCACAUACGAUCCCAAACAACAACGAAUGAUAUUUCUUCGACAUUUAUGUGUCAAUAACAAUACCUAUUCAUAUUGCUAGUUUGAGCUUCGCAAACACAAUAACUAUAGUAGAUGACACUGAAAUAGAAACAAUACCACAAACAAUGAAAUCGCUCCACUCACACAACAAUGCAUUUUGAAUGUUAAAAAUAUCGGUAGAGAACGAUUUGACAUAAGCAUAGCAUCAAAGGACUCAGCAAAACUUAGAGGCAUCGUCGGCGUUAAUAUACUAGAAAAGUUCCACAGAAAAUUUCCAUUCUUCUUCGGUGCUCUUAAUAUGGUCUCUUUGAAAAUUUAGGUUUCUCCAUUAUAGUAGAAACACAGCUGACAUCAGUGAACUUCAUUGAUUUUAUCCCCAACUUAGAUUACAGUAUAUAUAAAAUCCACGAGAAAGAUAACAAAAACAUCUAUAUACUUCAAGACAAUCCAACUAUCCCAAACCAUAAUUAGAAACCUCAGGAUGAACAUAUCUCUAAUAUUCUCUUUUUUAUCCUCCAAUGAAAAAGUAGUGAAUGAUGUAGGUAUUUCAUAUACGUUUUCAACAAUAGCAGUUACAAAGAAAAGGUACAAAAUAUAAACAAAAUAACACCCACAAGAAAUGGGAAAAUUUAAAGAGAGAAAAGGAAAAUCAUCUUAUAUAAACCCCCACACCAAUAACUAUGGUAUUUUUCAGUAUACUCCAUAAGCACUUUCAGCAUAACCACAAUUAUCAUAAACCAAUAAACAUACACAACAUAAAAUUAUUAUAUUACAAAACCAAGAAGUUCGAAAACAUUGUAGCCAAUAAAAAGUAACGAAAUGUCUUAAAGUAGAACCCCAACCAGACACAUAAUAACAAUAAUUGCAACUUGAGAUCCUAUUCAUCCGGUCCUCUGGAAACUCCCUCACAGGAAAUAUUUUAGUGGGGCCACUGUAACCAUGUACAUCACACGAACUAAUACAUCCAUAUAUAUGGUCUGCAGAAUACCAGUUCAAAGCACAAUACAACCAACAUACAUGGUUUGGAACCUAAACAGGAAAAAUGAUAACGCACUCUAUCCAACAGCGAAAUAUAAAAGUACACAGUUUAGCAUUAACUGGAAAAUACUGUCACAUGUACGAUCAUACCAAACAAAUAACAAAACCUAUCAACUUUGUAUUAAUGAAUAGUACCAAUUACUCCCCUUCAUGAUCAAAUUUUGAAGAGGAAAUUCGAAAUAGUAUCUUUCUACAAGCACAUUUCACAGCACAAAAACCUUUUAUACUAAUAUUUUUCCAUAGGCUACAUAUGAAAAUAACAUACCUUUUAUCCCAGCACUCAAUCUUUAUAAUAGAUUAUCCCCAUAACAUAAAUAAAAGCUAAUUUUACAGUUUUACACAAAACAAGUACUGUAAAAUUAUCUAAAGCAACACAUAAAAUUGUCCAAUAUAUGUGCACACACUAACAUACACACACAUACAUAUAUAUAGAAAUGCAGAGGAUGACCUAACAAUUUUGUUGCUUUGAAUUUAUUUUUUAUUAUUUUUGGUGAAUAAAUUUUUAGAACUUUGUGAUUUUGUCUAUAUUUACUUUUACGUAUAAUUUUAUUUUUUUAUUUUUAUAAUAUCCCACUAGUUUAUAAUAUCCUAUUACUACCAAUUUACACCAACAAAAAUAACUAAAACUAGUCACAUUUCUACUCACCAACCUACAUUUCGCCUUUCAGCAACCUAAAUUUUUCAGAAAUAGAAAACAAUGCCUUGACCUAGAGCUUACACACCUAUAUAGACACAGUCCAUUCCAUGAAUAAAUUCUGAACAGUAACAGACUCCCAAAUUUAAUCAAUUAAAAUUUCCCAUAACACAUCUCCAUCACAACAGUUCGAAGAUAGCUUAGCAGACCGAAACUUCAAAGCUGCCCUCAAAUUUGUGUCCAAAAAGAAGUAUUCAGCAAUCCUUCAAGUUUAAACAUUUUACUAUAAUUUAACAUAAAAAUCAAACAUUAAUAUAUAUAUGUAUAUAUUUAGCUUUGUGUGAGUUUGUGUGUGUGUGUGAGCGUGCUUGUGAGUGUGCCUAGAUGCAGCCGUUGCUGUGUGCUAAGAAGUUUGCCUCUUUGCGUAUUCCUUCAGUCCCACUGCAUGGCACUUCGGGCAAACGUCUUCAUCAUUUACUCUAGUACAAACCAAAAGUUUGCGAGUGGAUUAUGAAGACGGAAACUGAAAGAAGCCCGAAUUAUCAAAUUUGGGCCAACAACAUUCUAUAACCACACACUUUUAUACAUUUCAUCAUAUACAAAUAAUACCAUGGCCUUCAACAUAUAAAAGAAAUACAUAUAUAUAAGCACAUUAGAUAAAAAGCAUAUAUAUGCGCAUAUAAAAUACAAAAUAUAUAGAAGAGCGUGUCAGGGAAAGGUGCAUGCAAAUCGACUAAAAUCUUAAAUAAAUUAUUAGCAAAACAUAUCAAUCGACUGAAAAUAAUUUUAACCCCUCGGUUAAAAAUACAUCAUCUAUCUAUCUAUCUAUCUAUCUAUCUAUCUAUCUAUCUAUCUAUCUAUCUAUCGAGCUCUCUCUCUCUCUCUCUCUAUCUAUAUAUAUAUAUAUAUAUAUAUAUAUCUAUCUAUAUUUAUACAUAUAUAUAUAUAUAUAUAUAUAUAUAUAUAUAUAUAUAUAUAUAUAUAUAUAUAUAUAUAUAUAUAUACAUACAUAUAUAUAUAGAUAGAUGUUGGUAAAUGGAAUAAGUAUAAAAAUUAUUUUUUUCAAUCUUUCCAAUUUAACUAAAUUCUAUAUUUAUAUGCAGCUGAAGAUUGCGCCACAUUUUAAAACUGAUGUAAUACUUGCAUUGUUUAAUUAAAUGGAGUCGUAUGAAACGAUCGUACUGCAUUACCUUUUGAUAUCCUUGUUGCUUAUUUUGAUUAUAAUCACCCCAUGUUGAAUUACAUGGAUAAUACCAUACCAAAUUCUGGUGCCUUUAACGUAAGUACCAUAUUCAACAGAAUCUAAAUUUUUUCUGAACCUAUAUAUAUAUAUAUAUAUAUCAGAUUAGUUCGUUUUUAAAAAUGAAGCAAUCCAUAGCAGGUCCGGUAUCAAGGAGCUUAAGAGGGUUCCAAAAAGAAGGGUAGGUCAUAUAUCACAUCCAUGGCAAUACAUAUAUCGAGUAGAGAGAGGAGGAAGUAAAUUACAUUGAGUAAUACAUAGAUAGAUGUAAGUACGCGUAUAUGUAUAUAUGUAUAUAAUGUACCUUGCUUUAUGUCGAAUGAACGCGUGAUGUGUAUUCCAUGCGUUUUUUUGAGAAUAUCGUUUUAAUCGAAAUUAAAAGUGAGUCCUGCAAACCUGUUAAAAUUCAUAUUAGUGCCGUACAUACAAUCAUUGGUAAGAGUUUGGUUUUGUGUUUGUGGGCAAAAAGUUUUGUAUUUAUUAUCGGUGGUAUGUGUUAUUGCGAUGUUUGCAACUCUUGAAAUUGAACAUAAAAAAGUGUUAUCAAUUUACUGUUUGUUGGUGAGUGAUUUGUAGGAUACCUUUGCAUAUUCGUGUAUUUUUGUUACAUAAAUAUCUAUAUGUGCAUGUUCGUUCUUGUGACAAGUUAGACACUAACUACCAUUCCGAGAUAAUAAACAGAAACUGACCACACACCUACACGCACAUAUAUCCACGCAUACACACAUACACAUAUAUGUAGUCUUUAUUUAGCUGUUUCAAUCACUAGAUUGCAGCCAUGCUGGGGCACUACCUUGUAGAAGUUUUAGUCGAAUGAAUCGAUUCCAGUACUUAACUGUUUUGCUAAACUUUAUACUUAUUCUACCGAAUCCCUUUACCGAACUACGAGGUUGAGAGGACGUAAACACAAAGACGCACACAUAUGCGAUGGUCUUCUAGUCUCUUUCCACCGUAUUCACUCACAAAGCUUUGGUCGGUCCAAGGCAGUAAUUGAAGGCGCCUGCCUAAGAUGUCAUGUAGUGAGACUGAACCCGGAAGUCAGCUUCUUACCACACAUACACGCCUGCCCCUAUAUAUGCUUGCUUGAAGAUAUAUCAAUGAACAACAUUCGAAUGAAAUAUAAAUACACACAUGCACAGACAAAUACACACACACACAUACACACAUACACACACAGCUAUAUUCUUCGAAACAAAAUUCCAUGAAGUGCAGAUCUUCUUCCAAAAGAAUCCCAACACUCAGACGUGAAAAGCCCCAUUCGUUACACACAUAGCUAAUAGAUAUAUCCUUAAUUAAUUUUUCAAAUUAACUAAUAAAAAAAUUCAACUUAACAUACGCACACAUAUGCACACUCAAGAAAAAGAAAGAAACUAAACAAAAAGAAAUGAAUAAAUAAAUAACGUGCUCAACAUCAACUCUCUAAUGAACCAUAAAUAUAUUAAUAACAACCUUCCACGUACAAUUACAAACACCACACCAUGGAAAUAAUCCAUACAACCAACAACAAAAAAAAACAAGAACAAGCUAGCAGCAGGAGACAAUACACCCGCCAUGGAAUAUGAACACAACACCAAUUCGUCUGCAUUUCGCAACUUGUGUAAAAAUUGAGUCGUAAGAGAAAGUUUCAUAUUCGGUAACAAUUUGUGUAUGAAUGUGGUUAAGUGAGCAGACAGACAGAUAGACAUACAGAUAAAUACAUACAUACAUACAUAAUCACAUACAUACAUACUGUAAACCCCUUGUCAUUCAUGUUAAAGAAGUUUGAAGGAUGUCUCACUGGUUCACAAGGAAGCAGAAAUGCAAAAAGGACACAGUUUCAACAUUUUCAAAGGAUGUAGGAUUGAAGUUUUGUCAGGAUAAACGUUAUAUGACUGUGAAAGGGGGAAAACUAUAAAUCAGACUAGUAACCGCUCCAUUAAUGAUUCCCCUGUAUCUAACGAGGAAUGUUACAGGUAUCUGGUGUGGAUGAAAAUAUAUAUUACAGUGGCACCUGCAACAAAACACAUGUCACUAAAGAAUAUUACAGCUGAAUAAAGAAAAUUUGGACCCCAGAAUUCACUGCAUUCAAUAAAACAGUAGCCCACAAUGUCUUUGUUGUGACAGUAAUCGUACCAACAUUUAGGCUGCUUUAUUGGACGCUUGAUGAGAUCCGAGCCAUUGAUGUGAAAACCCGAAAAAUACAAACAAGAUCAUCUAAUUUCCUCAUAAACAAUGAUGUAGACCGCCUCUGCCUAAAACGAAAAUAAGGCGGAAGAGGCUUAACAUCGAUCCAAAAUGCCUUUGAAUAUCGCAUCAUAUCUCUUUAGUAACAUCUUUUAAACACCAAGUGUCGAAGUGCAUCCCUUGACCAAGUAUGCAUACAUGAGGCUGAAAACAUCAUAAGACUUGGAAGGCAGCUCCUUGAGCAACACUCUUUGCCUGAUAAUCUAGAAUACAUGCCCAAAGAAGUCGCCCGACUCUACCGUAACAUGUCAUGAAAUGAAAGGAUGAGUCUAUAUGAGUAUAAGACUAUGCAUGGGUAUGUUACUAGAAAGCUCCGUGAUGAUAGUAGCAUCAAUCAUCAAAGCAGUAUAUCAUAGAACAAUAGCUGGAUUAUUACUUCCCACUGUGAAGGAAAUGCGUUUGCAAUUCAGAAACAGGAAAUAUCAACCAAGCACCUGAUGCACAAAAGGGAUAGAGAUGCAGGUAAAGCGGUAAAGCGCGACAACCAGUGCAGACUUUGUGGAGUUCACACUGAAGAUAUCACCCACAUCAUAAGCAGUUGCGCGAAACUGUCAUCAUGGUAUUAUUUACCGAUGAGACAUGAAGUUGUAGCUAGGACACUCUACACUGAAAUCCGUCAGAAGGAUGAUCCCGAGGACAUAGAAAUACGAACUCAUAAUAUGGUAGAAGCUUUAGCCACUCAUAAUAAAAAAGAAUACUGGUAGAAUGUACCAGUAAAAUGCUCAAUAAAAUGUAAGCUCAAAACAAUCUGAUAUAAUGAUUCGGGAUACAGAAGAGAAACUGUGCACAGUUGUGGAAAUGAGCUGCCCAGCAGAUGUUAACGGAAAACUGAAGAUCAGUGAAAAAAGAGAACACCUGUGCUGAACUAUUUGAGAAAUCUGCUGUUACUCUAUCCAGAUUACAGGUUCAGGUUUAUACCUGUAAUUAUUGGUGCCAUUGGAUAUGUAACAUACUGCCUAAAUACCAAGCUUGAGAAAUUAGGCUUCUCAAAGCCAGAGAGGAGAAAACUAAUUCGAAGACUAGAGAUACAAAUCAUCAGAGGAACUGUAAAAAUCUGUAAAACCUUCCAGACGUUUAUCAUGUCUAGAUAUGCAACUAUAUGCAUGAGAACACAUACAUAAAACAUACAAAUCUGCACAUACAUACAUGCAUGCAUGCAUACAUGCAUACAUACAUACAUACAUACAUACAUACAUACAUACAUACAUACAUACUACAUACAAACUAAAAUGCCCUGUUUUUUUAUGCUAAAAUUUGAAUGAAGGCGCCUUGAAUCUAGGUUAGAAACCGGUUUCUUCUCUAUUGGCAAGAAAUCUUGAAAUAAACUGAAAAAUGCGAUACAUACAUACAUACAUACAUACAUACAUACAUACAUACAUACAUACAUACAUACAUACAUACAUACAUACAUAGAGGGAUGCAUGCAUGCAUUCACGUAUACAUACUGGGAAUAGUUUGAAGUUGCCUUACCUAGUUCUUGGUGUGUUAAACUAACAAUCUCAACUCGAAAUGAAGUGCCUCUGCAAAGUUGUUUCAGUCUACUCUGCUUAAAUGAAAAUCCAUCACCUACAAGUACCAUCCUCUUCAUUUAACUAGGGGAAGGUGGUACAGAUAGAUAGAUAGAUAAAUAGAUAGAUAGAUAGAUAGAUAUAUAGAUAGAUAGAUAGAUAGAUAGAUAGAUAGAUAGAUAGAUAGAUAGAUAGAUAUGUUUCUUUAUUAGCCACACAGGGCUGCACACAGAUAGAACAAAUUACAAGGUAGAGCUUUUCUUUUGAAGGUUUAAGAAAGAAAAAAAAAAAAAAAAAAAAAAGGAAGGGGGAGUUUCGAUCAAAAGGGAUCGUAAAAGGAGAGAAAGAGGACAAAAAAAAAGGGGGGUUUAAAAAAAAAGGGGGGGAGGAAAAAAAAUUGAUCAAUAGGGAUCGUUAUCACAGAAAUGUCAAUAUGAAGUGUAAAGGGGAGGACAGGUGAGGUUUACCCGUGCAAAGAAAAGCCUACGGAAAAGACCACGGUAACCUCGGUCAAUGAUGUCACAUGUUAUAUUUCUUUUUUUUUUUUUUUUUUUGCAAAUAAGUAACUCUCUGUUUUCGAUUUCUGGGUUCAUAGGACUAUGCUCAAGGUGGCUUCGUCAUUCAUACGUGCCAUUCUUGCUACAUUCACCCAUCUUUUUUUAAAACAUUCGCUAGACAAAACUUGCCUCUCUACUCUCACUUUCCUUUUCAAGUGGUACUUGAAGAAGUUGAUGAGAGAUUGACCAGAGAGGAAAGUGUUUGUCUCCAAUCCUUUCAGACGCGUCCACCAGAUACAUUCUUUCGCCAUAGCCACAAGGAUGAUGAAAAUAGCUCUUCCUUCCCGUUUGAAGGAAGGAGGCGUGACAAUAUUGACGAUAGACUCAGCUGAUAAACCGACUCGUCCCACACGUGACAGCAAUUGUUCGACAUAAGCCCACAGGUCGGAAAUUGUUGGACACUGAACGAGUGCGUGCAGAACGGUUUCGUCGCUCUGACCGCAUCUCGGGCAGGUCGGCCCCGUGUUUCUCGAGCCGUGUCUGUAGAGCUUAUCCCGAACGGGUAGCGCUUCUCGGUAGCACUGCCAGGCCAGGGAUCUCUGGAAGUUGUCCAUGGGCCCUGGCCCGAAAGUCGUCCUGAACAGGCGGGUCAGGUACUCCUCGUCGACGUCCAGGUUCGCCCCGAGCUCGUCGUCGUACCUCCCCUCCACUAAACCCCUAUAGAAUGCUUUGGUUGUGUUGAAGUCACUUAAGGUCGACCCAGGACGGCAGAGUUGCUUGAGAGCAACGCGACACUCGCGGUGCCAUUCGCCCUUCCUCGGCCUCUUUUUGAUCCACGACUGCAGUUCGGUCAUGGAGACGAGCUGCGGGAAAGCGUGCCUCACAAACGGCGACCACACCUGUUCACCGUCGUCUACAUAGAGCCAGAGAUGUCGCAGUCUCAGCGCGUGUCUGCGCAUCAUCAACCACGGCAUGCCCAGCCCUCCUUUUAACGGGUGUUGACAGCAAAUGGAUCGCCUGACCAUCGGGACGCAUCCUUUCCACAAGAAGCGAAAGAGGAUGCGUUGUAGUUUGGUGAUGGUAGGGUCGGGACAAGGUACGACGGUCAGGCGGUAGUAGAUGACGGACGCGAUGUACGUGUUCGCCACCUCCGCUCGACCUUUUAGGGACAGUUUCCUCUCGGCCCAUUGCCGGGCGAGAGUGACCACCCUACUCGUUAUCUCGUUCCAGUUCUUCUCCACUUGGAGGUCCGGACCAAACCAGACCCCGAGCAACUCAACCGGGCCGUCGGUCCAGCGUCCCACGACGGAGGCGCUGGUGGACGGCAUGGGCUUGCUUCUCCAGGUGCCUAGUCGCAAGCCCACUGACUUUUCCCGGUUGAUUUUCGCUCCUGUCACCGCUUCGUAGUUUUUCAGUGUCUCGCCGACCAGCUCGAUGUGCUCGUGGCUAGACACUAUGACGGUGACGUCGUCCGCGUAUGCAGACACGCUCGUCCCGCAUCCCAAUUCUCGCGGGAUGCCCCUUAGAGUCGCCAGCUUCCGCAGUAGUGGCUCAAGAGUCAAUACGUAUAGAAGCGCCGAGAGGGGGCAUCCCUGACGGACCGAACGUGCAAUGUUGAAAGGUCUCGAUAGAUGUCCAUUUACGCGAAUUACCGAACGGAUGCCUCUGUACAAAGCAGCUAUCCAUCCGCGGAAAACGGGACCGAAACCAGCCGCUCUCAGGACUGCCCCCAAGUAUCGAUGGUCUACCCUAUCAAAGGCUUUCGAUUGAUCCAAGUUGAUCAGGGCCCCACCCAUGCCAGGUUCGUUAACUACCCUGUCUAUGAUGUAGCGCAUCAGAUGGAGGUUGUCAUGGAUGGUCCGGCCUGGCACGGCGCAUGUUUGCGCCUUGUCGACCAGUUUCUCGAUGACAAGCGCCAACCUCUUGGCUAGCACCUUGGCCAAAAUUUUCAAGUCUGCAUUAAGCAGAGUGAUGGGCCUAAAGUUAUCUAUUACAUUUCCCUUGUUUAGAUCUUUCUUCAGCAGUGUUACGGCUCCUCGGCUCACAAAACCAGGAAUGCUCCCGUUUUGCUGCCAGUUGCAGUACACCGCCGCCAAGAGAUCUCCAAACAAGUCUGGCAUACAAUUGUAAAGCUCGUAGGGUAGACCAUCCAAACCCGGUGAUUUGUCCCUCGAGCAUUCUGCCAUCGCUUCCCGCACUUCCGCCGCCGUGAUGGCACCUUCGCAGCACCCUGCCUUUCUUGUCGAGAGUCGUGGUAGGCUAUGUAGGUAGGCACUGAAGUCCACCCUACGUUCUUGCCCUCCACUCGUUCCGAACAGUCGGGCAAAAUGCUGCUGAAAGGCUUCACACAUUUUACUUGGCUCGAGCAAUUCGCGCCCCUGUUCAUCUACCAGUGACCGAAUGGUGGCUUUGUUGCCCUGUUGCGCCUCUGCCACCCGGGCCUCUCUCGCGGCUCCAACACCUUCGUUCCUUAGAGCACGCAUCCUAGCUCUGACAGCACAUCCUUCGUGUUUGGCGUUGAAGUGUUGGUCGAGGGCCAACCUCGCCGCCAAAACGUCGGAUGCGAUGCCGCUUCUAAUUGCCUCUUCUAGCUUCUUAACUAGCUCACCCUCUACUCUAUUUCUAUCUAUGGCUAGUGCUUUGCUGUACCUAAUCGCUUCUGCUUUUACUGCUCUCUUGAGGGCAAACCACCAUUUGUUGUUGAUGAUGGCUCCCGUCAAAGCCCUCUUUACUAGUGUGCUGAUCCGGUCUCUGAAAACUUGUCUCGAUGGGAAAGACGCGUUUAGUUUCCAGUAUCCGGGACCCUGCCUAAGUGUCUUACCUAAGUCUAGCGUACAUGUCACAAGUUUGUGAUCCGUGUAGCUGACUAUGUGGAAUUGUGGACAUCCUAUGCUAUCUCUAUCUACUGUCCUACACAGUAUCCUAUCUAGAUACGAUCUCGAUGACCCGAUGCGGUUGCUCCAUGUCCACGUUGGCGCAUUCGGGUGGUCUAAUCGGAACCUGUCAGACAGUUGAAAGCGUCUGAGCAGGUCUCUGAGGCAUUUGCAUCCCCGUCUAUUCCUAUCUCUACCCACGUAGUCUACAUGCGUGUCCAAGGUAGCAUUCCAAUCCCCCACUAAGAGUAAAGGACGAGACGUUCCCAAGAAAACUUCUAGACGUUGAAAGAAAUCCGCCCGACCUGUUAAGGGCGGUGCGUAAACUGAUACGAGUCGAAAAGCGCACCCAUUGCUGCCGUCGACAUCCAGGACGACCAGUCUACCCUCCGGGUCUACGAAUAUUGUCCUUACUUUGAGAUCCAGACUCUUGUGAAAAAGUACCGCGGUGCCACUACCGCCCAUUCUCGGAAGACAGGGGGAAAAAUAAAUGUUGAACUGUCCGCCAAACAUGGUCUUUAGGGCCCGCGGAUUGUGGAGUCUGGUCUCGCUUAUGGCUAUGAUUUCUAACUUAUGUGACUUUAUGUCAUUUAAGAGGUACCCUUGUUUCAAGGGGACCCCAAGCCACGCGCAUUUACACAACCAAUCUUGAUCAUAGUUCUAAUGAAUUAGAAUACAGAGGGUUACUUACUGCUUUCUCCUCCGUUUUUGCUUUCUCCUCCGUUGGUUUGUCCUCGAGAAGAUCCCAGUACAGUUUCUUUGUGAGAUAUUUUUGGCAUUUACCAACCGCACUGGGGAAAAUGCCUUUGAGUGUGUGGUGCAGACUUUUGGAGAUGUGUAAUAUUUUGAUGUGGUCUGGUGGUGUUGUGUAUGGGUGAUUGUUUGUUUUUAUGUCAUCUUCUGUUAUGUUUGUUUUUGAUUGGAUGUAUUCCAUUAAAUUUGUGUUUUUGGUGUCUAUGGCUGUGAGCAUGUUUGCUGUAUAUGUUUUUGUGGUGUUGGUGUGGCUGUUGUUUGCGUUGGGUUUUGAAAUGUCUUCGGGAGAUGUAUUUCCCCCUGCUUUGUUCGUGUUUGCAUUUGGUUUGGUUGUGUUUCUGCUCUUUAUUUUCCUUCUUUUUGUAGCUAUUUGCCAUUCCUCACUGGUUUCGUCUUCCGACGAAAUUUCUGAGGAAUCAGAAGGGGGUAGGGGUAUGUUGUGGGCUUCUAUGUAUGUCUGUGUAAGUGGUUGUGUUGUUGUUUUCGUUGUUGUUGGUUGUUGAGUGUUUGUGUGUGUUGAGUGCGGUAUAAGGGAUGGGGGAUCAGUUUGUGUGUGUUUUCUUUGUUUUUCUGUUCCUUUGGGUUUUGCUGUUGUUGGUGGUGUUGGUAUUUUUCCAGGUGUUGAGUGGUUUUUGGUUGAUGACGGAUUAGCUUGGUGUGCUUCUCUUGUCGUCUUCUGUGUUGAUGGUGGUGUGGGUAGUAGAGCUUUUUUUCCGGAGUGCUUUGGUUGUGGUAGUGGUUGUUGUUGUUGCUCUUGGUGUGCAGUGGUUGGGCACGUCUUUUUCAAGUGUGUUUCGCUUCCACACAAAUAGCAGCGUGGUCGCCUGCCCUCAACCACUAUAUAGAGUUUGUAGCCUCCUGGCAGUUCUAUAGAGGUGGGUAUCUUCUCUCUUGCUGCUUCAUCCAAUUGAAGCAGGAAUUCGAUUGAUUUGCCCACAUAGUCUUUCUCUCCUAGAACCGCGAUUUCCAGGAUGUUUGUCUCUGACAUUGUCUCUGACAUUUCAAAGCAGAUGGCAGAGACCAACCAUUGUGUUUCGACAUCAAAUGGUAUGUUUUUUAUUUGGACUUUCGUGACCCUUUUGUUUAAAUAGACUGGUAUCAUUACCAAGUCGUCCGAAUGUAGCUCCAAUGUGGAAAAACGUUUUGCUAAACUUUCGUUGAGGAAACGUACUUGGACUGUACCAAAUUUGUUUCCCCAACUGAUAUAUUCCUUGGAGUCCCAUGCAGGACGAAGGCAUUUUUCGAUUUUUUCCUGCGGUGCAUUUUCUGUUCUUCUUGUUUUUUUGUUUAUUACUUUAUAAAUUAUUGUUUUUUUUUUGGUGUUUUCCACGAUGUGUUGUGGAAUGUGAAGGUGCAAUUUGUCUCCUUCUUUGGAGAAGAGUGCCUUUGUGCGGUUUAUCUCUUGUGUGGUGAAUGUUACAAUUGUUCUUUUUUGUUUUGUUACGUCCGCAAAAUUCGUUUUGAAUUUGGCAGUAGAAGUGUUAAUUGUGGCAGUGUUAAUUGAAGUCAUGGUAGUGGUGUUGGUGUUGGCGGUAUUAGCAGUAGAAGGCUUGGAUGUAGCAUUUGACGUCGUAGUAGUGGUGUUGGUGUUGGCGGUGUUGUCUUUGGUAGGCGGCUUUGUGCCAAUUUCGUUGUUGUUGUUGUUGUUGGUGAUGGUGGUGGUGCUGGCAUUCAUGUUUUCGUUUGUAUUCAUUUUUGAAAUCCCUUUCUCUGUCCCUUUAUCAUCAACAAGUGGUGUGGGGAGUGAGGGGAAAUCUAAGUUAAUGUCUUUGGUCGCGGCGAUGGUGAAUGCGGCGUUAGAUUUGUUGUUGUUGUUGGUGGUGGUGGUGAUGGUGGUGACAGCGGUGUUCACGCUGCGAUGUUUAGUAGUUAGUGGUAGCAAUAGUGUUUUGCUACCGUUCUGCAUGACUGGCGGGCUAGCCACGUGGUUUCUAGUUGCCAUUUUCAAAAUGAAAAAUGGCUAAAAAACCCACGAAAGUUUUGAAAGUUUUUUUGUAAUUUCGCCCAUACAGGGGCGGAAUUCUACGUGAAUAAUUCUCAGGUUUUUUAGUGAAUGAACUUGCACAACGAUUAAAACAAAAUAUUUGACAACAAGGAGUUUUAAACAUGUAAAAGUGGCCAACUUACGUGGAGCCGAUAUGACUAUCGUCCGUCCAUUGUGAGAGAUAGAUAGAUAGAUAGAUAGAUAGAUAGAUAGAUAGAUUGACAGGUAGAUAGAUAGUGUCGUUAAACAAUUAGUAAGUUAAAAGAAUUAAGCACUCAUGCUUGAUAACACAGUUUGUAUAUUAAUCAAAAUAUACUUUAUUGUACAUCAAUUUCAGCCGAUUUUACCCAGCCAUUUCGCACGUGACAUUUGAUAAGUAGAUUAGACUACAAGACCCCGCUUUUCAUAGUAGACAGUAUAGAGAAAGUGCGACUGCUCUCUGGUUCUGGAAUGAGGAAAUGUCACAUUUAGUUUGUGGGCGAUUUGAAAACUUCGAAGCGAAGCUGCAGGAAAUGAUUGAGGAGAAUCCAUUGGUUAAGAAAACCCUUCUCUAAUGGUUUGAUAUAUACAGAAAAGAUACUUUGAAGCUAUCGACGGGGACGAAAGACCACACACUCAACAGGCUUAGCAAGGACCUAACUAAUAUUCUGAAUUCUCUAGGUCCAAUAGAAAUCAAUACUUCAACACACAUAUUAAACUCAAACAAAUCCCACCAAAAUUCGUUUUACUAGCUGUCACAACCAAGCUUUUGGAGUAAGGAAUAUAACUCUAUAUGGAAUCCCAUCCCUUUACCGUCUCAUACAGUUUAUUUUUCUCUCUUUCAGUGCAUUCACAAAAGUAUGUAAUAAUUCCUCAUAUCCAAUAAUUUGUUUUCCACCAACACGUACACUUGAUGAACGCAGCAUUAGAUAAUCAUUGGAAUAUCAAAUACCCUAAAUGUAUUUAUGUAUACUUUCAUUAAUGCACGCACGCACACGGAUAUAAAUAUGUAUGCCCGCGUACGUGUGUGUGUUUUUGUGUGAGGAAGGAAUUAUUCUCAGAUAUUCUCUCAGUUUUUCAACUCCUAUAAAUCAGUGGGGAUAUUUCUGGACCUCCUCUUGCAGACAGUUCUCCUCAUCUUUUAUAUCAGCCUUUCUGCUGAGUGCCAGUUUCUUUAUUUCCUAACUCGAGCGCGCAACCAAUUGGUAAAAUUGGUAAAUUUGGUACAAAUAGAGCUAUACUACUGCCAUGAGCAAAACAUAAGUUUACGAGUUGUUUUCAUAUUUUAGGAACAUUCCCUUGUCGCAUGAAAGCCAAUCUUCUUCAGGUGCUAAGAUUACUACCAGGAAAUGAAGUAGUAAUCAAGUCAAUAUUAUCACGGUCCCCAAAAGUGCAACAAGUAAAGUCCAAUGUCAAGACGAUUCUGAUUUGAUUCAUCGAUGCGAAAGGAAUUGUCCAAAGAGUAUUUGCUCCUCCUGGUCAAACUGUUAACCAGACAUUUUACUUGGCAGUUCUGAAGCGUUUGCGAGACACGGCGAGACGAAAAUGCCACGACUGGUGACAAAGUGGAGAGUGGUGAUUCCAUCACGACAAUGCACCUCCGCGCAUUUCCAUGAGUGAGAAUAAUUUUUCGAUCAAAAAUUACAUGACCCCGUUUACUCACCCUCCCUAUUCACCCGAUUUUGCCCCCUGCUAUUUUCUUUUUCACUCAGAACGAAAAAAGGCCUUCAAGGAAAACGUUUUGUAGAUGUGAAUGAGGCGAAUAAAAAAACGAUGGAGGCGUUAAUAGGUAUCAUUUCGCAAGAGUUCUAGGACUGCUUCCAACAGCAGAAAACGCAUCUAGACCGAUGCAUUGCUUCAAAUGGAGAAUAAUUUGAAGGUCGAUAAAAGGUAAACAUGCAAAACUAAGUGAAUAAAAUGAUAUUGCUAAAUUCCGGGACUUUUUAGGUACCCCUUCCUAUAAGUUUAAUUGUCUUUUUCUAUCUAUCUAUUUACUUGUAUUUCUGCUUGUCUCUCUGUAUAUAUAAAUAUAUAUAUAUACAUACAUACAUACACACUCAGACAUAUACAUGGUAUGUAUGUAUAUAUAUAUAUAGGCGUAGGAUUGGCUGUGUAGUAAGUAGCUUGCUUACGAACCACAUGGUUCCGGGUUCAGUCCCAUUGCGUGGCACUUUGGGCAAGUGUCUUCUACUAUAGCAACGGGCCGACCAAAGCCUUGCGAGUGCAUUUGGUGGACGGAAACUGAAAGAAGCUCGUCGUAUAUAUGUAUAUAUAUAUAUAUAUAUAUAUAUAUAUAUAGAUAUAUAUAUAUGUGUGUGUGUGUGUGUGUGUGUGUUUGUGUGUCUGUGUUUGUCCUCCCAGCAUCGCUUGACCACCGAUGCUGGUGUGUUUACAUCCCCGUAACUUAGCGGUUCGGCAAAAAAGACAGAUAAAAUAAGUACUAGGCUAACAAAGAAUAAGUCCCGGGGUCGAUUUGCUCGACUAAAGGCGGUACUCCAGCAUGGCCACAGUCAAAUGACUGAAACAAAUAAAAGAGUAAUAUGUGUGUGUAUGUACUUAUGUAUAAAUAUAUAUAUAUAUAUAUGUACACGCACACACACACCCAUACAGAUAUAUAUCGUAUGUAUACGAGGGGGUGAUGAAAAGUUCCUGGCGUUAGGUAAAAGAAAAUACAGGAGGGUCAAUGAAUUAAUGCACGAUAUAUGUGUAUACAUGAAUAUAAAUGAGAUGUACAAGUUAUAUAAUCCAGAACCAUAAUUGUGCGAUGCAGAAAGUAACAAUUAUCCCCGAUAUUUUUUAUCCUCUUCUUUGCUUAUUAUUCUCAAAUCUUCCAAUAUUAAUUAAUUAUUGAUCUCUCUGAGCCAAGCAAUGUACAAUUAUUUCUCAAUCAAAAUCUAAUUGCACUCGAUAACGAGAACGGUGAACAGAAAAGGUUUGGAAUUCUGAUGGCAUAUGAAUAACGGUGGAAGGGGAUGAAGUUGAGAAAGAUUUAAAGAAUGAAAGUUGUUACAGAAGAAAAAGAAGAUAGAAGAUAAUGCACUUUAAAAUAAUUCUUAAUUCGAAUCGCAUUUCUGGCUUGGAUUUAAACUAUGAAAUAGACUGUGUCUGACUCGAAGAAGGAAAAGUUUUGCUUCGGGAAUUAAAUUAGAAUAUCUAAUAAUAUAUUUAUCUCUUACAUAAAUCAGUGGAUAUUGUGAUUAAAGUACUCUUAUGUAGACUCUUACAUUUAAUGUGGAAUUAAAAUUAUUAAGAUCACUAAGAUCAUGCUAUUAGCUUCUACUACAGUCUGCAUGGCUCCGCAAUAGAAAACAUUCUGACAGUAAAAGGACUCGGUAAGGAAAAUGUCACUGCAGAUCCAGAAACCUGCAAAUGCUCAUUAUGGAAAUAGUUUCAGACAAGCUGUGAAAUCAUAAGAAACACAAUUAUUGUUCCAAUAGCUUUCUACAAAGCGAUAUAUUGCAGUCACGUAGUACAUUAGCACCAAACAUUAAAGGUUUUGUAAUGUCACCGUCAGAUAUACCAGAUUUGAAUCUAUAAUUUUCUACAUACCUAAUCUUCUUUCUCACAUCCUUUUGGAGCACAUUGUCGUAGCAGUGUCUAUUUCCAAGGAGGAUCUUUUCCUAGUAGUAUAUAGUCUAUAGUUGUACGGGUAAUCGAAGAAUAGGUCGCCUAAUAUGCUAUGUCAUAGCAAAUAUAUUUGUAAUUGCGUUUGAAAUAAUUAAACUAAUAUUUUUCAAAUUUUUAUUUGUUCAACAGAUUUUCAAUUGAGAGACUUGUUAUUUCUUUGACUGUGUGCCUAUAAAAGACUUCAUGAAAGAGUAUGUGCAGGAUUUGUGAUGGAUUAUAUUCAGACAGAAGAAACUGGAUAUGAUUAUGGGUUAGAAUAGCUUCACUUCCUGCUUUGAACGUAUAAUACUCCUUUCUACUCUAGGCACAAGGUCCGAAACUUUUGGUGGGGAGGAAGCCAGGCGAUUAGAUCGAACCCAGUACACGACUGGUACUUAAUUUAUCGACCUUGAAAGGAUGAAAGACAAAGCUGACCUCGGCGGAAUUUCAACUCAGAACGUAAAGAUAGACGAAAUACCGCUAAGUAUUUCGUGUGGCGUGCUAAUGUUUCUGCCAACUCGCUGCCUAUUGGAACCUAUAAUAUUAUAAAAUAAGUGAAGGCGAGUGGCUCAGUGGUUAGGGCAUUCUUCUCGUGUACAAAUCCUUCGUGAAAAUGCAAUUCACUUAUUUUGUGCUUCUUCCCAUUUCAUGACAAAUUUCUUAUAUUUUUGGACGACAGUUUUCCAUGUCUAUUCACUGAACCUUCUCAAUCGGCUUCUCGUUUCGACUUGCGGAUGGCCUGCUUCAGCGUGCCUCUUUUUCCAGUAACGUGCUGCCAUGUUAUAAGCGGUUGUAUCACUUCUUGAUCUGCGUUCCUUUUGUCCAUGACAUCAUCGCCAAAUGCCCGCUGAAUCUGCUGGACGCACUCUAUACGUAUGUAUUCAGGGCAUAGUAGCCGGAAACUGACACCCUACCGGCACGAAAACUUUUAUGCAUGCACAGGAGGAGUGGCGUCGCCUUCCACCCAAAGGAUUUUGCCUACACGGCAUUAGUUUUGUUGAAAGAAUAAAGUUGCUUAUUUUUAGAACACAGUAUAUAUGAUAAAGUAGCGAGAUCGAAAAUAUUUGUAUUACAGAUUGUUGAUUAGCCACAAUCAUAUAUAAGGCUAGUAUAGAUGAUAAAGGAGACGGAAAAUACACUUCAUCCCAUGUCAAAUUAGUCAAAAAUUCUGAUAAGAUGACCGCUACUAUAUAACUCCAGAAUAUAGCAACAAAAGUAACUGAUUAUGCGAUAAUAUGAUCGUGGGAAAAGGGAAUGAAAUAGGAAGUUACGUACUACACAUAUUUCAAAAGAUUCACCGAUCGCAAAUUAUAUGAUCUUAAUGAACUACAUGGAUUUUCGGUGUUUUUUCUCAUCGGGUACUUUUCUGGCAGUCGCUAACGACUCUAUUGUCGUAAUGUUGCGAAGAGAAAGAACACUGAGCAUCUAUAAAGCACCAUAAAGUUGCUUGAUAUGCAUUCGGCAAGCCUUUUGAAAUAUUUGAAGUACGUAAAUACCUAUUGUAUUCCCCUUAUCCACGUAGACACACACACACACACACACACACACACACACACACACACACACACACGCACACACAGAGAGAGUUAUAUAUAUAUUACUUAGAUAGAUCGAUAGAUACAUAGCUAGACAUACAGACAGACGGACGACGGACAGACAUACAGGUAGAGAGACUGACAGACAGACAGAGACUAAAAAUCAUGGUGCCUAAUAAAUCUGCCACAGCUGAAUCCCUGAGCCGUUUUCUCAAUAUUAGCGUAACAUAAUCGCUUCGACGUUAUUGGUUUGAAACUAUUUGAAUAUUCAUCAUUGCUAAUCGUAUGAUAAAUGGUUAGUCAAAAUCGUCAGAGCAGUCAUAUGCCACCCUUCAACAUCAUUGGUUUGACAAUAAAUGAUUAUAUAACAUUAGUACCCUGAUGUGAUAUGAAUUUACAGAUAACAGCUAUGGUGAUUUUAGCAGCUCAUUAAACACCCAGUCGUUAUAUUUCGGUUACGUUUGUUGAAUGUAGAAUGAGAUCGAGCGUUGGUGAGGUUGAUGUUUCCUCAUAAUCCUUCAUAUUUCAGCAGAGACACACUUAAUACAGGAAUCUUUUAAUUUGGUUGAAGAAACCCCCACAAUUGUUGUUAAUUCCAUUAUCUCUGCCGUAGCAACACAUGUCAAAAAGGGAUGAACUAUAAAAAUUAACCCGUCAAACGUUGCUGCCUCCAAAUGUUACUUUGCUAGGAUCAUGCCAAACCGACUAAUUAUCAACAAACUGAAGUGUGAUGAAAUAUUCAGGGCACACACCUGAAUUAAAAUUAGACCGAAUAGCAUUGGCAUAUAUAAAACAUUAACGAAAUAUUUUCACUUAAUUUAUUGUAAUAUUUCGCAAUUCUUAAAUAUAGUUGCUUUUUUCGUUACACAUAAUCUUUUCUAAGGCCCAAAAUUUUCAUUUUGUAUUAGAGAUGCACAUUAAAAUAAUUUAAGAAGUAAUUCAUUUAACGCUACUUAGUCUGUAAAUGAUAUAGAUUAGUAUUAAUAUAUCAUUAACUUAUGAGAUUUUCGAACCAAUAUUCUCCGUCUUUCGUUACAUUGCUAUCUUGAUAAAGGGAAUGAGGCGCCAUAAGAAACAUAAAAUGCAAAGCUUCCAAUCGUUGAGCAGUAACUUAAUGUUUCAGUAUUGCUCUAUUGCUUUCUAUGAUUCUGAAUGUUCGAAUUUGUGAGAAUCUAAACCGAUGUAACUACCGUAAAUUAACCAUAAUAUUUACUAUUCAGAAUUGGGAUAUGCAUCCACACAUUGCUUGGGAAACUUGUUUUAACUUUCAAAAACGAGUUCAUCAAGCAUACACAUACAUACACACACAUAUAUAUACAUAUACAUAUAUAUAUGUGUGUGUAUAUAUAUAUAUAUAUAUAUAUAUAUAUAUAUAUAUAUAUAUAUAUAUGAUUACAUAUAUAUAUAUAUAUAUAUAUAUAUAUAUAUGUAUAUAUAUAUAAAUAUAUAUAUAUAUAUAUAUAUAUAUAUAUAUAUAUAUAUAUAUAUAUAUAUAUAUGUAUAUGUAUAUGUAUAUAUAUACAAUACAAAAUGAGACAAGAACGCAAAACAUCCACAUAGACGAUACAAAGAAAGCAAGGUCGGGUCAUUCGAAGUUUUCUUUCCUCAGUCAAGUACAAGAUUAUCUUCGCUAUUUCGGCUGAUUAUACUUGAGAUUGCUCCAAUCUGGCCAGCACCAAGGACAAACUAAGCUAAGAGCAUUAAAUUCCUUAGAAGAAAGCAGCGAAUGUAUACAAAAGCUAGGACGGAAAAAACGGACAAUGUGACACAAAUACAAUACAAAUAACAACAGGUGUCUUUCGACUAAGGGCAAAUUAAAUUAAGCUGGCGUGCGUGGAAAUGAAGCCUUACAGCAGGGAUACAAGAUUGCACAAACACAGGGAGGAAUAUCGAUGUUGCACGGACAACGGCCAGACCAAGGAAGAGAGAACGGGCUUGGCGGAACGCCGGUCACGUGGGAAGAGAGGAGAAGGAAGUAGAAGCAGAUGGACAGAAGAAUUAAGGAGGAGCGGGGAAUAAUGAUAGGGACACAGUGAAGGGAAAAGUGAGCAAGAAGAGAAGACAAAGAAAUAUGAGAGAGGGGGAACGAAAGAACGAAGAGUGGAAUGAACGAAUAAGCGUGAAAGGGCGGAUAGACAAAAAUAGAGUCGUAUAUAUAUAUAUAUAUAUAUAUAUAUAUAUAUAUACAAUAGAAAUAUUAAAAUUACUAAGUCUCUCUAAAGGAGAUUACGACAGUGUUACUGGAAAUUAAUAGUUAUCGCCAUACUAAUAUGGCAGUCUUAUAAAUAUAAGACUAAAGCUGUCGCUGAUUAGCUCCAUGAAGGUUUAUAAUGGACGCAGUUUGUGUGUCAAAUAGCUAGCUUAAGGCGAUGGCCUCAUGGAGCUUUACUCUUAUAUUUAUAAGACUGCCAUAUUAGUAUGGCGAUAACUAUAUAUAUAUAUAUGUAUGUACGUAUAUGAGCACACGUGCACACACGCGCAUGUGUGGGCGUGGGGGCAUGUGUAUGCAUACUAGUGUAAUGUUUGAGCGCAUGCAUACGAUGCGUCCAUAUACGGGAAUAUAUGUGUAUAUACUGUGUAUAUUUGCAUCCAUGCGUACAUGUAUACACAGGUGUGCACAUAUACAUGAGUCUAAUACGUAAAUUGGUAUAUCCAGUAAGUUAACACUGCCGUAUAUGGUGGCUAUAUUAAAAAUGCGUUUGGAGACAAGAAUGGAUUAGAUGGAUGCUAAUGAACGAGAAACAACUCCCGAAAUAUAGCAUAUAUUACCCAAUUUUAGCUCCAAUUUCAUUGCUUGUUUACAACUGAUGUCUCCAUACGAAACGUUGUCGCAAAAAUCAGUGCUGGCUAUAGUUUCUAUAGAAUAUCUGUAGAAACCACGUUAAAGAUAAUUCAAAAACCUUAGAAACAACCUUAAAAAUAACGAAUCAUUGGCGCAAAGCAGUGUUUAAGUAUGAACACAAUUUAGAAUAGUUGAAAUAUGUUUGUUGCGUAUUUCAACAGCUAAAGGUAAAUCCACUACAGUUACCGUGAAGAAAAAAUCCCUCUUAUGGUAAAAAAGUUAGAUCGGGCGACCGGCAAGCGCAAAUAAGACAACGUGUUGACUGAAUUAUAUAUAAAGAUGCAAGAUUUAUUUAGUUCGUUCAGAGUUGCCUCUCUUAGGCACAUCUCGAUGACAAGAGUGAAAAAAUCAGACCAUCAAUGUCUGAGAUUCCUGACAGAUAGCGAUACUGAACGGACUGGUGCUUUCACACCUGUUACCAUAAGAGAGAUUGUUUCUCCACAGUAACUGCAGUGUAGUUGCGUUUAGCAGUUGAAACAUGUGACGAAGAUAUUACAACUAACCUAAAUUGUACUCAGACAUUAAGAAUAAUUUAAUAAACAUUGCUGACGCAGUAGGACAUGGUACUCACUCAUAAAAACAUUUAAUAUACCUCAUAGUAUAUUGGGUUUGCAUAACCAUAACGAAGUACUACGCACCUAUAAAUCUUUAAUAUGCAUAUAUAUAUAUACAAAGAUAGAUAGAUAGAUAGAUAGAUAGAUAGAUAGAUACAUACAUACAUACAUAUAUAUAUAUAGAUAUAUAUAUAGAUAGAUAGAUAGAUAGAUACAUACAUACAUACAUAUAUAUAUAUAUAUAAUAUAUAUAUAUAUAUAUAUAUAUAUAUAUAUAUAUAUAUAUGUAUGUAUGUAUGUAUGUAUGUAUCUAUCUAUCUAUCACACACACACACACACAUAUAUAUAUACACGCACAGAGGCUACAAUGGAUAAAUUAUUGCCAUUUUAUAUUGCUUUUGCUUUUGAUUUUGUCAAUUGCGCACUAUAUCAGGGUCAGUUGGACACCGUCUUCCAAAAUAACAGCACUAUGAUGCAAUUCGCUCUGCCAGAAAUUUAGAAACGACAUUCUGUACAUCUUGGCAUUCGCGCCAGGAGCUCCAUACGAACAUUUCAGAGUGUCUUGGUUUCAACCUGAGAACAAUGCAUGUACCAAGAGUGAUAAAAAUGAAACAUACUGUCAACAUCAUGGCGUUUAGAGUGAUCACUAGUGAUUGUGGCAUCAUGCAUCCAUUCAUUUUACCACACGAUCUCAAAAUCAACAUGGAGGCCUACAUCAAGUGCCUGGAGUGGGUAGUUCUGACCUGGGUGAAGUGGGUGGUUUUUAGGAGAUCCUAUGUCUAACAACAGGAUUCUGCACCACGCCACACAUGCAGGAGUACCCAGUCGAAGCUGUAAGACAAUUUCUGCGACCACAUCACCCCUAACACCUGGCCACCUAACUCUCCAUGCUGCAAUCCUUUUGAUUAUUAAGUAUAUGGGUAGGCAGAGGAGCAUCUACUCGUUGCAUGCGCAUAUGCACGUGCGUUCGUGUGUUUAUGUAAAAGGGUUGAGAGUAUGCAGGUAGACAUGAGGCAUGGACAAUGUAUGUAGAAGCGUUAGUAAUAAGUCCAGUGCAAUUUGGCUAUGUCUGAAUCAGCAAGGUUAUUGAUAUCCAGGGAAAAUUGAUAUCAGGUAGAAAACGUGAAUUUACACAGAAGAAAAUGAAAAUCGAGAAAGCAACGCGCAGCAAAGUCAUUGUAAUCAGUAAUAUACACAUAAGAGAAAAUUAAAUGAGUCAACGUUUCGGCUAGCAGUCAUUCCUCACAACGUAAGUAAAUAAACACAUUGCAACAUGCAAUGCUUGAAAACUGAGUGGUGAAAGAUUAACUGUGGGGAUUACACAUGUCGGAAAUACUCCAGCUUAACUGAUAUAAGUGCAUGUGGAUAAAUAACGAAUAACAUUUUUAUUCAAUCGUGUGUGCAAAUGUGUAAGUGCCGGUGAGUGGUAUUUACUAAAUAUUUUUUUUACUGUGAACGUGAGGAACGUAUAUGAAUGGGCAAGGAUGUUAACACAGUUUGUACGAAGUAUAAUUGUGUUUAGGUGUGUGUGUCUGUGCGCGCGCGUGUGUGCGUAUAUGCGUGUAUGUUUCUGUGUGUGUUUGUGGGUAUGUAUGUGUGUGAGUAUAAAGUGAUCAAACUGCAAAUCUGCACGCGCAAGAUAAGUGAAAUAUGAUGUUAGUGAGGAGCGUGAGCAUACGUCAUAUUGUACGUUGUAUAUAUCUUGUGGCUGCCUAGUGACGCAGUUUGUGUAUAUGCAUGGGUUAUUGGAAGAAAUCGGGUGUUAAUGGAUAGCGUGUGUGUGUGUAUGCGUGUAUCGAGCACUAAAAAGCAAGGUGGCAACCUUCUUCACACCACUUCCUAACACUUCAUAGUACUUAUCAUUUACAAACAUUUUGUCAUACAGCAAUACGCACUAUCUAUUCUUGGUUCAUUCACUUAUACAUUCAUACAUAUAUAUGCAUAUAUAUCAAUAUACUUAUAUGUAUAUAUUUAUGUAUAUAUGCAUUAUUGUAUUUGUGUAUAUAUGUGUGUCUGUGUCUGUUGAGGUAUAUGUAAACACAUGCCCGCACGCAAAUACAGCUAGUUCAUUUAAACGCAUCACAUUCUUUGAAGCUUCUCGUAUGCACAGAAAUUCAUUUCAUACAAAAUUACAUUUUCCUCCUUUCACUCAUUUCCCCCUUGCUCUUGCUACAGAUCACUCUUCAAUGCCUCAAAUCUUUUUCGUUACCACUGCUUACUAAUCAGUAUGCUACAUAUUUUAACUAGUAGCCUCUUUUAAUUGUUUCAGUUUCAUUUCGUCCUUUUCUUGCUUUCGUCUUGACAAGCGACAAAAAAAAAAAAAGAAAAACAGAAGCGCUAAUUUAUAUUACAUUGUGUACCUUCGGAAUACCCCACUUUAACGAUUCUAGCCAGGAAUGUCUGUAAAAUAUCCAUAUUUCUCGACCGAAUAUUUUUUCGGAUUAUACCAGACACAUUUCUCAUCCAUGCCCAGAUUUUUCCUGAGAAAAACGAAGCUGUCCAUGACUCUUAUUCAAUAAUUACAUGCUAACAUGAAAAUCCCACCGACUGUAUUGUCUCAUUGCAAAAGAAACAUGUGACUGCUUAAGGACUUUCUAAGUAUCUGUUAACCGUUGUAUAUUUUUGCUCGACACAUUCUUCUAGGAAUGUCUGAGAAAUAAGAAGUAACAAAAUGCACCUGACAAACGUGAAAUGUACUUGCUCAAUGUUCAGGAAUCUCUGAAACGCACUGAUAUAUUUUGAAGCUGCAGCAUAUGUGUGCCCAUUAUCGGCCACGGUACACUCUAGCUUUCUCUUAAUGGUUUAGGCUGUAGUUGGGCUUCGUGGUCAGUGAAAUAAAAUCCUUCAACACGCAACAAAGGAGAAACUUUAAUCUGGUUUGAGAUGUACAGUUAAGACAAAGCAGAUAGUCAUUUUACUAUAUAUAGCAAAGGUGAUGUGUAUGUCGUCGCUUCAGCCAGAGCUAGGAGAUAUUUACCUCAAGACGAUGUUUUAAAAUAUUUUGAUUAAACGUUCUCCUCGAAAUUGCAUCCAAAUUCGUAUACCGGUAGGAGGUCGUGACCGACACCCCUGCGCAAGACUGCUAGUGUGGCUUGCCUCUCCAGGUGUCGAAUUGCAACCUCACGCAAAUCAACCAUAUAAUUCCGAAGACGAUUUUGGUAGGAAAUAUAACUAUAUAUACACUAAAACAUUUUGUUCAGCGCUUCACGAUUUUGUCAGUGCACAGCUCAGAAUGAAUGGCCUAAAUGUUUUGAUUUUUUCCAAUUCAAAACUCCUUAGGGCGGACUGCAAUUCAUCACUGCAAAUUUUACAAAGAUCAGUUUUUGUAUUCCAAAACUAUAAUCUUAAGGCAUUAUGUCAAAAUUAUCAAUUAAUAUUUAGUUUUCAUUCUUCUCGCCCUUGGAAUCAGUUUGACAUAUUCUUGGUGCCAAUAAAUACUUUUCUGCUACAAAAAACUACAUUAGAUUCAAUAUCAGAAACUAAACUUCAUAUAUAUAUAUAUAUACAUAUAUAUAUUCUAUAUAUAAUAUGCGUAUAAAUAUAUAUGUAUAUCUGUAUAUUUAUAUAUAUAUAUAUAUGUAUAUAUGUAUAUAGCUAUAUGUGUGUGUAUAAUUAUGUAUACCUACAUCUAUAUCUUUAUAUGUAUGUUUCAUCUAUAUAUGUAUGUAUAUAUGUAUGUAUGCUUGUAUGCAUAUAUAUUUAUCUGCCUUCUGGUGAUAUAGUUUUCUUGUUGGAGAGCCAACCUGACUGUUUCACAAUUAACUUUACUAUGUUUUACUUUAUCAUAAUUCUAUUGAUGUGUCAGCAACCUUUUCGAAUCGAGAUAAUUGAAUUUUGGAAGCAGAAGUGUUCUUAACUCAAACUUCUUUACAGCCAAGUGUUCUUGAAAUUCUUCAGAUUAUGGUUUUAGAAUUUCGAUGUCAAAAACAGAAACUUUAUCAUCACUUACAUUCCGUGGCACAGUUCAGUUUUUUGUCAUUUUACUUUGACAAAAUAAUCUGGAGAUUUCAUUUAGAGAAACCUAAAUCAUACUUGAUUAAAUAGACAAUUAGCUUUUAAUCAUGAUUAAAACCAAGAAUAUUGUAUGGAUUCUUAUAGUUGUCUGUUACCUAGUCCAGUGCUCCAUAAUGCUAGUUCAACUACCGUUGGUAUUGCGUUCUAUAUUUUUUAUUCGCUAGCUGUUGAAACUAUUAAUAUUCAUAUACGGUAAUUAAUUAUUAUUCCUCUCUAUCUAUAUAAACUUGCCUUAUUCAACAAGGAAACUGUUUAGGUGUCCUUGUUUUAAUACUGCUUAAGUAUUUGGUCACUGUAUCCGUAUUUGCAGCUCUAAAACCUACCAAAAUGCUUGUCAAUGAAUAAUAAACGUUUUGAAAGUUUAUUCUAUGACAUGUGUUUGGAUAUUAAUUCUGCAGAAUAGCUGGAAUGCGUUUGAAAUUAGUUCUAUUUAAUCUGAGAUGGCAUCGUAUUUAGUUACUGGAAAAUAAUCAAUGGCACCAAAGUCAAUAAUAUCGAUUGAUAACAAACACACACUGUAAUAAAAUUUCGAUGGUAUAUAGUAGAUUAUAUCACCUCCAGGGAUGGUAUAUAUUUUAUCGACUCAGUAAUAUCAGGUGGAAGAAAACUCAGCAGAAUUUGAACUCAAUCCGUAAAGAGACAUAAAUAAAUAUUUCAAAGAAGAAUUAAUAUGCAAUCUUACAGGACACCAAGAAAUCCAGUUUCAUAUAAUUUUAGUGAAUAUGUGUGACAUUCUUUGCUGAGGUACUAUUCUUACUAAUUGGCUCUAUAUAGGUCCCACUGAGAUGGAGAGCAGAUAUGUCACCAGUAUAAUUAUUGGCUAUUAAUCUUCAUUUGAAAUCCUCGGAUGUAACAACAUACGACAAAUAAAUGUUAUAUGGAGAAAACUUGAGCGUCGUAUUAAAAUGGAACAUACGUUUCAUCUAUCAACAAGUAUUUUCGUUUGUCAUAUUUCAAGUAUCGUAAUUUCGAACUCUGUAAAUAAUGCAUAUAUAGCCAAUUAAUGUCUAGAUCCAAGUUAUUAUUUCAAGAUUCAAAUAUUAAGUAUCUGUAAAUCAUGAGCGAUGAUUAAACGAGUAUACAUUGCUCUAUAGAUACAGAGUACCAAUAGUAAGCUGUAGUUACUAGCUUAUUCAUACAUACUGCGGAAUAUAUACUUAGAUGUUAAGCAAACCAGAUAUCGUAAAAUAUUUAACAAUCUACGAAAAAUCUCGAACAGUGUUAUAGGAAAACUCUUUAAAACUGAACGGCAAAUUGGAAAAUAAUAACUCGUUAAAUAGAUUGCAGAAUGAUUAAUGAUAUUUGACAAGCAACUAAGCAACUGGAAUAUUAAACAGAUUUUCUGAAUAGUAUACAUACAUACAUGCAUGCAUACAUACAUACAUACAUACAUACAUACAUACAUACAUACAUACAUACAUACAUACAUACAUACAUACAUAUAUAUGUAUGUAUCUAUAUAUUACAUGUACAUUAUAUAUAUAUACUUAUUUCAUAUGUAUCUAUCUCACUGGCUGUCUGUCUGCUUGUCCCUCUGUAUGUCUGUCUGUAUGUAUGUAAGAUUAUACAUAUGUAUGUGCGUAUACAUGCAUGUCUAUGUCUACGUGUGAGUGUAUGUAUAAGCCUUACUAAUGCAUGCAAAGUGUAAAUUAUUUUACAUUUAUAUCAUGACAAUUGUUUGUAUAUACAAACUUGCAUCCACAUUUGCGUGUCUCUGUAUAUAUGUAUAUCUAUACAAGCACACAACAAGAUAGAAAGAGAAAGGGAGAGAGAGAGAUAGAGAGAUACUUCCUCAACAAUUACCUAUAUACUCACAGCUUAGUAACAAUGAUAUCAAUUCUAAUGCAAUAUGAAUGUUCUAAAAAGCAUAAAUUUUAAAACCCAAAUUUAUUCUGGCACAGCUAUGUCCUUAAAUAUCUGUUAUAAUUCCGUUCCGUCUUAAACAAAUAGGUAAUCCCAGCAGAUCUAACUGUACCGUUAGCUUUCAAACAUGUUUAGAUACAGCAUAACUCUUGAAGUACAGGAUUAUGUGGAAACUAUGCUACAUUUGGAUUUUCUUUGCUUUUCAAACGAGAUAAAAACAUAAAUAGAUAUUAUGUUAGGUUUUCUAAGAAGUAUUCCUUUUUCCAUAGAUAUUUAUAACGUAAAUUUCAAAAGCAAUAUGUGUAUAUAUAUAUAUAUAUAUAUAUAUAUAUAUAUAUAUAUAUAUAUAUAUAUAUAUAUAUAUAUAUAUAUGUAUACACACGCUCACGCACAUACAUAAAUGGAUGGAUUUAGUGAUAAAGAGAGAGAGGGAUAUAUUUCUAUAUGUCGAUUCCUAUAUGUGCAAAUUUGAAGAUAUAUAUAUAUAUAUAUAUAUAUAUAUAUAUAUAUAUAUAUACUAUGGAGAUGUACUUGCAUAGCGAGUGACUUGAUCUGAGAUCGUGUGCUGGAACGAAAAUAAUUGCACCGUGGAAGGUGUUUAUAAGCCAUUUAAGAAACACACAAAACCGUUAGAUUCACUUCAACAGUUAAGCUUAAUUUGUUAAAAUAUUUUGGUCGCUUUGAGACCGCGACCUGUUCACUGACAAAGCUUCGUGCUGCAUCUGAGAAAGUAACAGUUAGUUCAUGAUAUAUAUGUAUGUAUGUGUGUGUGUGUGUAUGUAUGUAUGUACGUAUGUAUUUAUGUAUGUAUGAAUGUAUGCAUGUACGUAUGUAUGUGUGUACAUCUAUGUGCGCAUACAUGUGUGCAUGCCUAUACGCAUGUAUGUAUGUACCUAUGUACUUACGUAUGUAUGUGAGUAUUUAGGAGAGUGUGUAGACGUGUCUGUGUGUUUGUACAUGUGCAUGUAUAUGCGAACGUAUGUUUAUGUAAUGAUAUGUGUCAUUUCAAGUUGUAUACAUAACUGUUACUUUGUUGAAGGUUGUAUAUAUACACACAUAUACAUUUAUAUAGACACACACACAUAUGUGUGUGUGCGUUUGUCUCUCUCACCACCGUCUAACGAUGAAUGGAUACAACGUCUUAGAUAGAUAUAUGCACAUAUAACUUUAUACAUAUAUACAAGUACACACAAUCAUAUAGACACUUACACAUACUCACAAAUAUACGUAUAAUCAUAAGUAUACACACGUAUACGCUCAUCCAUCUCUACAUACAUACAUAUACACAUACAUACAUAUAUAUAUACAUACAUUCACACACACAUACAUAUACAUAUCUUGCAAACAACUUGCACAGUCAAAAACUCCGCAUAAAAUUCAAACUUACUUUAUUUUAUUCUAUUUAUCCUUUUUUUAUAGUUUACUUUUACAUGCAUACAUAUAUAAUACAUAUAUAUAUUUGCACAUACUUAUAUGUGCAUGCAUGUACAUACUUAUACACUAACACACAACACACAACACAUACGCACACGUAUAUACAGAUAUACAUCUACACAUUCGUACAUACAUAUCAAACAAUGUACGCUCGUACGGUUAUAUAUAACUGCAUAUAUGUAUUUUAGUACCAAGCAUUUCAACAUGUAUGCAUGGAUUAUUAUAUGUAAAUGAGAGACAGGAGAUGGUUACAGAAUGGUACUCCCGAGUGGAAUCUCGAUGUGACAAAUUAAAUUUAAAUGUUGAAGUGAGUCUAACGGUUUUGUGUGUUUCUUAAAUGACUUAUAAACACCUUCCACGCUGCAAUUAUAUAUAUAUAUAUAUGUAUAUAUAUAUAUGUGUAUAUAUAUAUAUAUAUAUAUAUAUAUAUAUAUAUAUAUAUAUAUAUAUAUAUAUAUAUAUAUAUAUAUAUAUAUAUCCAAAUAAGCAACAAGGAUAUCGAAGGUAGUGUAGUAGAAUUGUUUCAUGCUACUUCAUUUUAUUAAAAAAUGUAUUACAUCAGUUUUAAAAUGUCGAG
rnacentral:lncRNA from 1 species